rnacentral:lncRNA from 1 species
UGGCGGUGGAGGUGGUGGAGACUUGUACUUGUAAGGGUGCUUGGGUGGGGAUGGAGGUGGUGGUGGGGGAGACUUGUACUUGUAAGGAUGCUUUGGAGGUGAUGGUGGUGGUGGUGGUGGAGACUUGUACUUAUAAGGAUGCUUUGGUGGUGAUGGUGGUGGAGGUGGUGGGGACUUGUACUUGUAAGGGUGCUUGGGUGGUGAUGGUGGUGGAGGUGGUGGAGACUUGUACUUGUAAGGGUGCUUGGGUGGUGAUGGUGGUGGAGGUGGUGGAGACUUAUACUUGUAAACUGGAGAUGGUGGGGGUGGAGACUUGUACUUGUAAGGGUGCUUGGGUGGUGAUGGUGGUGGUGGUGGGGACUUGUACUUGUAAGGAUGCUUGGGUGGUGAUGGUGGUGGAGGUGGAGGAGACUUGUACUUGUAAGGAUGCUUGGGUGGUGAUGGUGGAGGAGGUGGUGGAGACUUAUAGUUGUAAACAGGAGUUGGUGGGGGAGGAGAUUUGUACUUGUAAGGCUUCUUGUGUGGUGGUGGUGGUGGAGAGUAGACCGGAGGAGGCGGUGGUGGAGACUUGUAAUGGUAAGGUGGUGGUGGGUACUUCUUAGGUGGUGGUGGAGGAGAAGAAUAAGUGUAAUCUGCUGAGGUUUCAAAAGGCAAAUUGAGAGACACUGCUAAAACUAAAAGAGUGAGAAAGAGAGAGGUCAUUGAUGACCCCAUUUUCCCCAUCCUUACUUCUAAAAAUGGGUUUAAUUUGGUUAUGCUCUUAGCAGCCCUCUUCACUCCCUUUAUAUAGACUUUGUUUUAAAGUUACAAUCAUGAUAAAAGUGUGAAGGUGGACCGAACCUUCAGCAGCAUUGAAAAAAGACGUUACGUUUAGGUUAUUAGCAUGGUAUGACAUAAUAAUUCUCUAUUCUCUUCCUUGUCGUUUCCCAUAAAUUUAAUUUAAAUAGUCCAUUUGCUAUAUUUAUAUUUCUGUUUCUCUAUUAAAUAUUUAUCAAAUUCAUUUCUCACUCCUUAUAGAAUAUGAAUAAUUAAUCAUUAAACUCGAUUUAGUAAAUACUUUAAAAAAUGAUUUAUCUUAUUUUUAUGCUUUAAUUAAGGCAUCAAAUCAUUAAUCCCAUUUGAUAUUAUGAAAAUUUAUCACUUAAUUGAUCAAAAUGUGAUUCUUGGCAGGAAAACAUAAUUUACUUUCCUUAAAAUGUAAUUUUUAUUGAGAGUUAUUUUUCCACUAACAAUAGAAAGUGAUUCUCUUUAUAAUUCGUGAAAAAAUUACUUUCACAUGUAAAUAAAAAUUGUUAGGAUAAAAUUAACUUUUCUUUUAUUUAUGUUAAGGUUACUAAUUAACUUAUUCAACUUUAAUAAAAGAUAAACAUAGUUGUAGCUUGUUUGUUGAUGUUAGUUUUUUGUCUUUACAACUUCAAACCAUUAUUCUAGUGUAAUUUUUUUUUCUUUCUAAAUAGUAGAUAAGUAUCUAUAUUUUAUUUUGCUAUAAGAAAAUUAUAUUUUUUAGCAUACAAAACUUAAGAUAACUUGUAGAAUCAAGUAGUUGUAUACCUAUUACUCUAGCAAUAAUAAUAUUGACAUUGUCUACUUUCAAAUUAAAAUUUCAAAUUAGUUCAUUGCCCAAUUUUCUCAUUAAAAAAAAUUAUAUAUAACAUGUCAACUUAACGAAACUUACAUGAAAUUUUGUAUGUGUUAAAAAUGAAAAAUAUGGCGGUUAUUAAAAAAGAUGUCAUACAUCUAAAUCAAACUACUAAUUUAAAAAUUAGUAUUGAGAUAAUUUCAAGCCAUAUAUGCAAUAUUUGAGUAUACUUGAACUUAUACAUACAAAUUAGUGAGGAUUAAAAUUUUGUAAAUUGUACAUCUUCACAAUCUUGCGUUAAUAUACAAUUUUUUUAAUGUAUUAAUAUAAUGUUUUAGAUCAAGACGUGAAAAAACAUAAUUCAAAUAUUUGUUAAUAGUAAAAAAUUAUUAAUAAAUAUUUAAUUCAAAAUUUAUUAAUAAUAAAAAUUAUUGAAAAAUAUUAAAUACGUUAAUAUUAUUUUUAUUUAAUAAUGAUACUUUUGUACAGUAAUCUUAUAUUCCCAAAUAAGUGUUAAAUGUGUCAAGAUUUUAAUCAAUACUUUCCGGUGAUUACCAAACGUUGUGAAGUAACUUCUUAAACAAUAAUAUUCUUAUCAAUCACAUUCCAUUAAAAUUUUAACAUAGAAAAGCACCAAAACGCCCCCUUAAAAUCGUGGUAAGUCUUGUUUGUCUAAAAUUUAAAUAUUUAUUUUAUUAUUUAAAAUAUAUUAAUUUUCUAAAAAAAAUCAUUAAUAUUUAUAUUUCUAAUUUUAAACAUUCUUUUGUUAAUUAAAUGAUAGUCUAAACGGUUAAACUCAAAUCGAAAGCAUUUUAUCUUAUAUUAGAUUAUAUGAAUCAUAUUAUGGUUGAAAGUAAAAUGUAUAAAAUCAAUACAAACAUCAAAUAUUAAACUUCCACUCAAUAGAUUUUAAAAUUUCUAAUUUUAUCACUAAUCUAUUUUAAGAUUUUUUUAAAAAAAAUCGUACUUUAGAUUAUCUAAUUUAAAAUUUUAUAAAAUUAUUAAAAAAUAUUCUUGUAAUAAAAAAAAUUUGUUUUAAAAUUUUUAAUUUUUUAUAUAACCAAUGAAUUUUUUACGUUUGUUUUAACUGGUUAUCUAAACAAAAUAAAAACUUAUUUAGUUUAAAUAAAGUGGUAAAUGUGAAAGCACCACAAAUCACAACUACAUUAGUUUUAUAAUUGGAUUAAUUUAAUCACCGGCAGAGGAAAUGUGUUAGUUCUAGCUACCAACAAUUCAUUUUAAUUCCUUUAAAAAUAUUAGAAAAAACCAAUUUGAUUUUUAAUAAUAGAUCUAAUUACUUAAAGGAACAUGGGUGAUGUGCACAUGGCAUACAAGCAUAAAAAAGAACAAAAAGAUUAAGUAUCUUUGCAAAAUAUCUCUCUCUGAAAUAAAUAAAACUUAAAAAAAAACAAUUUUAUUAUCAAAAUAAAAAGAAAAUAGUGUUUUUCUUCACAAAAAAAGAAAAGAAAAGAAAUACUAGUGUUUUUAAUUAAAAUAGAGUGAUCUGGGUAGAAUCUUUUACUUAAAUACUGACAUUGACUUUAUAAGCUAUUUUUUAUCAAAAGAAGAAAGAGAAAAGCAUCCGAUUGAAGAUGUGAAUUAUUAAGUUAAAAUUAAUCAUACAUGUAAAAUAUUAUUGUGCUUUUUUCUAGCCCUCCGAAAGACAUUAUGCUUUGAUUACAACAUUCUUCCUCAGAGAUGAGGUUUGAAGAUGAACUCGGAUGCAUUUAGAUUUUUACAAGACGAAAGUAAAUUAAAGGAUGUUAGUACUUGUAUUCCGAUACGCUUAUAAUACAGAAAGCAAGUAAUAUGUGACUGUACAUAAUGGCUAUGAGGCGAGGAUAUGAUACGAGAAGAUAGAGAUGAGAGAUUGCACUUAAGGGGUUAGCACCUCUUUUCUUUUUGUGUUUGGUCCCCAAAGCAUAUCUCUUAUUGGCUGAUGUUGCAAGGCGGUCCCAUAAGUUGGGCUAAAAGUGCUUGAUAGCUAGAAUUAAUAUUGUGGUAUAACAUAUGUCACCCCUAUAUUUGAAUAAGGUUACAAAGUGACUACUUGAAGAUUUAAAAAAGCAUGGAGAUAAUUUUGUUGCGAAAAUUAAAAGUAAGAGCUAAAUUGUUUGGCUUUAUUAGAGUAUAGACUCUGUUAGUCUAUUAUCAUUUUGUUAUAUAGGCUGGAAUAUUAUUAGUAAGCAGUUAGCAGCAGUUAGUCAUACAAGUAUAAAUUCUAUUCAUGUAUUGUUCAAAGAUAAGCUAAUAAUACCAGAAGAGAUUUAACAUGUUCAUUCUACUUUUUUUUGUUAUUCUUCAUAAUACAGUUGUUAACAUGGUCUCAGUCGCCAAAUUUCUUGGAGGUUGCUUCUAUUGUAGAUCCAUGGCCAAUUCCACUGAUUCUACCUUCGCUGGUCGUAGCAGUCCCUCAUUCUCAGUUCAUGUUUGGUUCAAUCGUUUCCUCGUCAUGGCACUGUGAAGUUAGAUGAAGGAAAUUUUGUACAAUGGCAACAGCAUAUCCAAUUGAUAAUUGAAGGAUAUGAACUCAUAAGAUUUUUAGAAGGGACGUUACCUGCUCCGCCUCGCUUUGUGUCAUCUCCGGAUGGAAACUUAGCUCUGACUCCCGAUGCAUCCCUGUUUGUUCAGCAAGAUAAGUUACUCGCUUAUUGGUUACUUUUUACGAUUAGUGCUCCUUUGUUUUCUUGUUUUACAACUGCUAAGACGGCGUGUGAGGUUUGGAGCACUGCGAAUUGCCUAUUUGCUGCUGCCACUAGAGCCAAGCUUUCGCGUAUUAAGCAUGAACUCCAGUCCAUCACGAAAGGCGUGAUGACUAUCAAAGAGUAUAUUGCUAAGAUUCAAAAUACUUGUGCGUUACUCGAGGAAUCUAGAUCAGUGGUUUUAAAGGCUGAAAAGGUAGAGAUCAUUCUUGCCGGCCUAUUGUCUGAUUAUGAUGUCGUUUUAACUCUGGCAUCGUUCUCAACUGAAACUUUUUCGUUAUAAAAGAUUGUUGAUAUGCUUCUGGAGUUCGAAAGCCAUCAGACUCAAGCGGUGAACGACGUACCUUUUCAUGCUCAUUUGGUAGAGGCCACUUCGGCGACAUCCGUGGAGGACUCCGUACGUGGUGGUCGUCCUCCUUCUGGUGCUCGUAGGCGCGACUUUCGAUCUCAGCUUCAGUGCCAGGACUAUGGUUGCUAUGGACAUUUGGUACAAUGCUGUUAUUAUCAGUUCAACCGCGACUACAGUGAUCUGUCUGUUUUGACCAUGGCGCGGGUUUCGCCUGUUCAUGCUGAUCACAAUUAGCAUAACGAUGUUUUUGGCGCAAGUGGUCUCUCGACUAGCUGGUUUUCAUCAACUUGUCCUGGUCCGGACCCGUUCGUGCCUGGACAGUAUGUCGAUUCUUUGGUGGUGACACCGGCGUAUUUCUCUUAUGGCUCAUCAUGGUGAGGGUGGCCACAUUUGCAAAACAAUGCCUCCCUUGUGCCAAGUUUGUUGAAUGUUAAGGUUUCUAACCCUUUUGCUCAUAAUUUUGACGAUGGGGCAGGCUAGGUGUUUGGGCUCGCUGUUGGACCAAGCUCAAAUUGUGGCCAAUUUGGUGGUCCUCACUUACCGCGGAGAAUGGGCCAGCACGUUAGGCCAUUUGCUAGUGUUCCUAGGCCGACUGGUUCAGGCCAAGAUUUUGGGCCAUAUGGAAUUCGUAGGCUAACCAGUGCUGGUCCUAACAUUGGACAGGGUUCACUUGGGCCAAAUGUUAAUUUUGUUAGACUUGAGGGCUCUUUUGGGCAUGGACAAGGACUUUGGCCCACCACUGGCAAUGUUUCAGUGCCAAAUAAUGGGUCAUGCGUUCCAUGGCGCACUAAACUGACGGCGCACAUUAUUGAUUGAUUUCUCACUGUGUGUUGGGUUGCCUCACAUUCUUGAUUUUCAUGUGUCUGAUAUUUUUACUACCUCUGGGUCCAAUGCUAACACGACUCCGUAUGGGUCUAAUUUUGAUAAUGAUAACUCUUACAUUCCUAUGCCUGUAGGGACCUUGUCCUGGUGUCUUAAUUCAGGGUCUAUACAUCAUGUCUAUCGAGAAGCCUCUACCUUGAACGAGUCUACGCCAUACUCAGGUACAUCUCCUCUCCUCAUGGAUGAUAUUACUCCUACAAAAAUAUCAUGUGUUGGAAACUCUAUCUUGCCUACGAAGACUAAGCUGUUUCAUCUAUCUAAUGUUUUGUGUGUGCCAAAUAUACGGAAGAAUCUGCUAUCUGUCUCUCAAUUUGCUAAUGACAAUAAUAUGGUCUUUGAAUUUCACCCGUCUUAUUGAGGACAUCCAGACUCAGGAAAUUUUGCUUCGGGGCCACACUCGUGAUGGGCUCUAUUAUUUUUCGUAGGUUACUCAUGUUCCGUCUGUCGUUGUUCCUUCUGUUCACAACACUGGGCUCCAGAGUCGCAAUGCCGGUGAUGAUGUUUUUACGUUAUGGCACUACAGACUUGGUCAUCCGUCUGCCUCGAUUGUUAAACUUGUUCUCGAUAAGUGUCAAGUUGUUUCAACUAAAAUGUACCUUGAAAAUAUUUGUAUUGCUUGUCAAAAGGGGAAGUCCCAUAAACUGUCUUUUUCAAGUUCUACUACUAAAUAUACGGAUUUGUUUGAAUUGGUUGUCUUUGACUUAUGUGGACUGGCAUCUGUUGUCUGUAGAAAUAAUCUGUAUCAUGUUUCGUUUAUCGACAUGUGUAGUUAUUUUACUUGGAUUUAUCUCAUUAAACGUAAUUCUAAGGAGGUUGAAUGUUUUCUUCAGUUUCAGAAAAUGGUCAAAACUCAGUUUGGGAAAGAUAUUAAAAAAAUUCAAAGUGAUUGGGGUGGUGAGUUUCUUGCCUUUACGUCAGUUCUGGCUAGUCAUGGGAUACUUCAUCACCUCUCCUGUCCAUAUACAUCCGAGUAGAACGAUGUAGCUGAACGAAAACAUCGACACAUUGUUGAGAUGAGUCUUAUUCUAUUGGCCAAAGCUAACCUAUCCAUGGAUUUCUGUGGUUUCGUAUUUUACAAUGCCAUUCAUCUCAUUAGUCUUCUACCGACCCUAGUUCUGAAAGGUCAGUCUCCAUAUCAGGUUCUUCAUGGUAGUGACCCUACAUAUGAUCAUUUACAAGUAUUUAAGUGUUGUUGAUUUUCGUACCUGCGUCUGUUUCUGCAACACAAGUUGGAUUUUCAUUCUCAGCCAUGCAUAUUUUUUAGGUAUAGUUCUCAACAUAAAGGCUAUCACUGCCUCACACCAAAUGGUAAGGUCAUUGUCUCUCGUCAUGUUGUGUUUGAUGAACGUUGGUUUUUCUUUUCUUCAAAUGCUGUGAACACCGUUCAGUUAAGUCCAUGUAUCUCUACAUAUGUUCCUAUUGUUCGGUCUUCAUCUUGCCGCCCCACGACAUCUUCGCUUGUUCGACCCACUGAGUCAUCGACUCUUGCUCCUAAUUGUAGUUCCACGCUGUCUGUUUCAGUUGACACUCCGGCUGAAUUAGGUUUUACUCAUGAGGUGCAUCGGCUCUCUACCUCAUCCCUUGAAUCUCGUCAAUGCGAUCCAACUACAAUUCCAUUGGCUGUUCCAUCUAUUUCUCUGGAAUACUCAUAACACUAUUACUCAGCUAGACCCAAAGCUCUGUCUGUUGAAAUUGUCAACUGUGAGUCGAUCACGAUUGAAGAGGCGCUCGCUAGUAAGGAAUGGCAAUUAGUUGUCCAAGCUGAGUUUGUUGCUAUAAUGGUUAACUCCACUUGGGAGCUUGUUCCCUUACCUCAUGGUCGAAAAGUGAUUAGGUGUAAGUGGCUUUUUAAAAUAAAAAAAUCCUGAUGGGACUAUCACUUGACGUAAGGCUCGGUUGGAAGCAAAGGGUUGUUCUCAGGUACUCAGGUGUGAUUUCAAGGAAACCUUUAGUUUGGUAGUUAAACCUGCUACUAUUAGAACCAUAUUAUCUGUUGCUAUCUCCAACGGUUGGCAAUUUGGUCAGGUAGAUGUGAACAAUGCUUUUUUAAAUGGUGAUCUUAUUGACGAAGUGUUCAUGCAGCAACCUCUAGGCUAUGUUCAGAUUGGUCAAAAUGGUGAGCCCUUGGUGUAUCAUUUGACAAAGGUGUUGUACAGAUUAAGACAAGCUCCACGUGCUUGGUUUGAUAAAUUGAAACGUUUUUUUGUUUCUAUUGGAUUUGCUUUAUCCAAAUCUGAUGUAUCCUUAUUUGUUCAAGUUAAUUCGAAUCCACUAUUUAUGUUUUAGUCUAUAUGGAUGAUAUUAUCGUUACUAGAAGUACGAUCGACGGUAUAAAUGGCUGUAUUCAAUAGUUACAUAAUGUGUUUCCCUUAAAGAUAUGGGAGAUCUUUACUACUUCUUAGGCAUUGAAGUCACUCGGUAGUCCACUGGGAGUCUCCAUUUGUGCCAACGCAAAUACAUUCGGGAUCUUCUUGACAGUAGUUUUUUAGCUAAUGCAAAGAGUGUUCACACACCGAUGGUUAGUUCUUUUACGUUGUUUAAAGAUGUGGGAGAUCGCCUCGUUGAUCCUACUGGAUAUAGAAGUCUUGUCGGUGUAUUACAAUAUGUGGUCUUGACUCUGCCUGAUAUUGCUUAUGCUAUAAAUCAUGUUUGUCAAUUCAUGCAUGCCCCUACUACAGUACAUUUGGUGGCUUUGAAAAGAAUCUUGCACUAUUUAUGUGACACUAUUAAUCAUGGGUUAAUUUUGUCUGUUCAACAUAUUGUCUUUAGUUGGCUAUGCUAAUGCCAACUGGGGACUGGAUUUUGAUGAUCGUAAAUCAACAACAAGCUAUUGUUUGUAUUUUGGGUAUACACCCAUCUCUUGGUGAUCUAAGAGACAACUCUACUGCGUGAGGCGAAGUAUUUUGGCCGCACCAUGGCUGAGGUGAAGUAUCGAAGUCUAGCAACAACUACCAGUGAUGUUACUUGGUUAGUCUCUCUACUAACAAAAUUACAGAUUCAUUCUAUAGAUCCACAUACUAUUUGGCGUGACAACUCUAAUGCAGUAGCGGUCAUUGCUAAUCCGGUCUGACACUCUAAAUUUAAACAUGCCAAGCUUGAUCUAUUUUUUGUUCGCGAAAAGGUCGCUAAUGGUUCUCUCGUUGUCGGUGAGAUUCUAGCAUGUGAUUAAGUUGCUGACAUUCUCACAAAACCACUGUUCGUCUCUACUUUUGCUAGGUUUCGUAGUCUGCUUCAAUUCUUACCUCUUGAGAAGCUGGGUGAAGCCAGGUGAAUAUUAGAGUAUAGACUCUGUUAGUCUGUUACCAUUUUGUUAUUCAGGCUGGAAUAUUGUUAGUAAGCAGUUAGUCAUAGCAGUUAGUCAUACAAUUAUAAAUUCUAUUCAUGUAUUGUUCAAAGGUAAGCUAAUAAUACCAAAAGAGAUUUAAUGUGCUCAUUCUACUUUCUUUGUUAUUCUUCAUAAUACAGUUGUUAACAUGCUUGAUAUCAUCUCUUAGAGAGAACGAGGAGAGAUAAGAGUAAGAGUAUGAGCCAACUAGGGAUAAGGCUCUACCAUAAUACCUUGGAUGCAAUUAAAGUAAGAGUAAGAGCCAACUUGUUUGGCUUGAUAGCAUCCCCUUAUAGAAAAGGCUCUACCGCAUGGCAUGAGAGCAAUAAAAGUAACACUCAAUUUCUUGGGUUGAUAGCAUCUCCUUAGGGAAAAGGGUUUACCAUGUGACAUGAAAGCAAUUAAAGUAAGAGUAAGAUCCAACUUGUUUGUCUUAAUAGCAUCAUUUAAGAGAAAUAUCCCAAUCAAUUUAUUCAAAUAUGUUAAUCAAAUAAUGCAAGUUACAAUGUUCUGUCAGUUUUUCCUUUAAUUGUAACUGGGUUAAAGUUGGUAGUUGUAACUGCUACUAAUAGAAUGGAUACGGUAGAAAUGGUUGCAAGCAACAUAAGCAAAGAUGACUUUAAUGUCUUUGUAUUGACCACGUGAGAACUAUAGAAUGCAGAGAAUAGUAUGGUGAUUGGCAACAGAAUGCUACUAACCUUGAGGAUAGUAGACAGGGAUGGAUCCACGGGGGUUGGGGGCGGUCCCCCCUUGGAAUUUUUAAAAUUUUAAAUUUUAUAUAUAAAUUAUCAUGUAUUUUAAAUUUGGUGUCCACAUUGUAUAGCAUUCACCCCCCUUUUCCAAAUUGCAUUUCAUAUCAUUUGCCCUCUUAAGCCAUAAGGUUAUACUUUAUAUUAACAAAGUAUUUUCCAUUUUUUAAUUAUAUAAAUUUAAUAAUAAUAAUAAUAAUCAAAUAUUAAUAUAUGAUUGGCAUUGAAAGACUAAACAUAAAGGUCCAGUUGAGACUUUAAAGCCAAAUUCCAUAAUUAAUUAAUUGAUUUGGCCCAUACCAGUACAUAUUAGGUUAGCGAAAUUCUUGUAUUUUGAUUUGUAUGUCUUGCUAAGGAAUUAUCUUCCUUUGGUAAGGUGUUGACACUGCCAAGAGAAAAAGAAAGGAUUUUGAUGUCGAGAUUGUGAGCAUAGAGUAAAAAAAAUACAAAUUAUCUUCCUCUUAGCUCCUUAUGGAAAAAACCUCUCGGUAAAUAUUUUUGCAUAAAUUAUGUUUUUUAUUAAUUUGACUUAGUUUUUUUCUUUUUUCCUAAUACAUUGUUGUUUAAUAUAUUCUUACAAUCAUCAGGUUUUUUGACUAAAUUAUGGUCAAUAAAAACAUCGAAUCUAUUUAAAAAAAAAGAGUGUCAGAAAGCAAUAAUGAUCAACCGGUUCCUCAACCUUCCAUUAUUAGUGAAGAAAAAUCAAAUAUCGGAUCUUCCAAAGCUCUUGAACAAAAUAUCAGGUCUUCUUAAGCCCAAGCUCCUAAAUGCGGUAUGGAGUCUUCCCCAACUCCUGAACGAGAUUGUAACAAUCCAUACCCAAUUCGAUCACCAAAUCCAAGUAGAGAGCGCCGCAACUUAAACCAUAUGAAUUGAAUAAUAAAUAUUUGAAAUUUAUUAAAGUAUCGAGUUCUUGGUGUAACCCUCAGUAUAACAAUACGAAACAAUUAAAUCAAUGAUACGCCAGGAAAAAAUGUUUUUAGGCAAAACACAUGGCGGAAGCCUUACAAAAUUUUAUAAGUUUAUAUAAAAUGUAAGAUGAGUUAAUCCCAUACAACAGUUUCAAGUGCAUCGUUGGCGGUUAAAAGAACAUUCAAAAACUAUUCGGCGUAUAUGCCAAUGAGACAAUCACGUGGAACAAGAUAUAGUAGCUUAAACACAUACAUCACUUACCACGUCAUCAUAACAUAUACUAACCAUAUAAACAAACUUAUCGAGCUGCGAACUAACAAGUUCACCCAAACAUCUAGGGUUAGCGAUAACUUAUUAGAAGAGCCCGCCAAACCCUAGAGUUCGCCAAAACCUGGAGUUCACCAAAUGGCGACUCCCAUAGAAUACGCCAAACACACAACCAAAAAUAAAUACUCUACUAAUUUACUCAUUUUAUAUUCUUAGCAUAAACAACUAUGCACCAAACAGUAACUUGAUACAUUAUCUUUCGGGCGAGUUGUUACAAUUCUCCCCCAUUUAGAAACUUUUGUCCUUGAAAUUCUUACCGGUGAAUAACUGAGGAUAUUGUUCUUUCAUCGAACUCUCUCUUUCCCAAAUGGCUUCUUUUGUAUUGUGAUUUAUCUAUAAUACAUUAACCAAAGGAAUUCUUUUACUUCUCAACUCUUUUACUUCCCUUGCUAAAAUACAAACAGGUUCUUCUUCAUAGGACAAGUUUUGCUCCACUUCCAGUGCUUUGACUUGUACCACAUAAUCUGGAUUGGAUUGAUAUUUUCUUAACAUAGAUAUAUUAAACACAUUAUGUAUAUUUGAUAACUCUGGUGGCAACACCAGUUUGUAUGCCACUGGACCAACUUAUUCCAAAAUCUCAUAUGGUUCUAUGAAAUGCAGACUUAAUUUCCCUUUUUGUUCAAACCUUAUGAUCUUCUUCCAAAGAGAAAACUUCAUAAAUGCAUUGUCACCCACUUCGAAAGAGAUUAUUUUCCUUUUUAGAUCAGCAUAAGCUUUCUGGCGAUCUUAAGUUACUUUCAGAUGAUUUCUAAUGAUAAAGACUUUCUCUUCUGUUUCUCAUACUAAAUCAAGACCAACUAUUUUCCUUUUACUGAGUCUCAUCCAAUAGGUAGGAGAUCUGCACCUUCGUCUAUACAAAGCUCCAAAUGGUAACAUUCCCAGACUGUCAUAAUAACUAUUAUUAUACGCAAACUCUAGCAAAGGAAGAUAUCUUUCUCAAUUCAUUCUAAAAUCUAUAAUACAACCUCUAAACAUGUCUUCUAGAACUUGAAAUACUCUUUCAAAUUGCUCAUCGAAUUAGGGAUGAAAGGUAGUACAGAAUCAUUAUUUCGUUCCCAACGAUUCUUGCAGUUGUCUCCAAAAUCUCAAUGUAAACAUUGGGUCUCGAUCUGAAACUAUGGAUGUUGGAAUCCCAUGAGGCGUACAACUUCAGAAACGUAGAGAUUAGCCAACUUUUCCAAUAAGUAAUUUGUGCGGACAAACAAGAUAUGGGCUAACUUAGUAAGUCGAUCUACAAUUACCUAGACUGAGUACUUCUUCGAAAGGAUGAGAGGGAGAGCCAAAACAAAAUCCAUGGUGAUCUUAUCCCACUUCCACAUAGAUAUCUCUAAAAGGUACAACUUGCCUAAGGGAACCUGAUGUUCUAUUUUAAUCUGCUGACAUGUCAAACAAAUGGAAAUGUACUUUGUUAUUUCUUUCUUCAUUUCAAGUCAGUAAUACAAACUUAUCAAAUUAUGAUACAUUUUAUGUAAAACUCUCAACCCAACUCGAAAUGUCGAGUCUGGAUCUCGGGUAUUACUAUACAUAAUACUUGGCAAAAUAUCAAAAUAGUUGACAAAUACUCUUUAUAGAAAACAUUUUCUUAUUAUUUUAACCAAAAGACUAAAUAUUUAAUAACAAGAGAAAAUAUUAAAAACAAAAAAAAAUUAUUACAUCAGACUUGGUACAACUCAUUAUAGUAUAAAAUUUUGUUAAAGACAUACUCUUGGGGCAUAACCCUAAUCUAAGCCACUUUUCCACUAUAUGCAUAAUAACCCACUUCGCCACUAUCUUGGCGUACUCCUAGCAUCGUCACUCCUAAUGCAUUCUCUACCCAUACACCUGAAAACAACAACAUUUUAAGCUUAAGAUAACUUAGUGACUUUUAUCCCAAAAAUACCUUGGCGAGUACUUUAUAUUAUUUGAAGAACAUUUGUGCGCCAUCUAUCCUUCUGAACCACCUUCUUCUGAAUUAAGUGGAUACUAUUAUAGAUUCAACUUUCACUUACACGCCAACUAUCAUACUCUUAACAAACUCACUUAUUCUAGAAUAGUUGUUCACAUAUAUUAAUCACUAAUUGAUACAUUCAUAUUUGGCGAAUACUUACGCAGAUCUGAAUACCAUCAAACUACUAAUCAAAUCAUACCUUGAUCCGAUACCAUACAAACUCAUACUGAUAAUGUACUACACAAAUUAUUCAAAUGAAUUUUCCACUACUUUGUUACAGGACCCCAGAUAAUCAUCAUAACAAUAACUCAAUUUUCAUAUGAUUUCAGAAGAAGAUAUAAUACAACCCAAAUACGGCAAAUUCCAGAUAACUCAGAUUCAACAACUGCUUAACACAUACGAACUCACAUUUAUAAUUUCUUAUGUCCCACAUAACUACGACUAUGUCUAUAUUCAACACUAACAAAUAAUCAUGACGGAUACCCUUCUUAUACAUAUAUGCAUUUCUUUUCUAGAAAUCUCUUAAGACUUACUCAAUUAUAUCACAUAUCUUAUUCAACCCUUAACUUUAGACAUAUCAUAACCCUAUCAUAUCAAUAUCUAUCACAAAAAAAAUCAGGAUUUAUCCAAAACUUACCAUAAAGGUAGAUAAUCAUAUUAUAUCAGACAAACUUAACUAAAUGUGCCACAAAGGCCAAACAAAAUAUGCCUUAAAGGCUUCAUACAAAAUCACGUGUUUACUAUCCCGACGGACUAUCACAAAAGGUGUCAUGGGUUUCUCCCACAUGGACUUAUACAUAAUUUCAUGUAUUGUGAUCUGCCAUUUUGAAUCAUACGUUAUCGAAGGAUACUCCAUAAGCAUACAUACAGACAUAUCUUGCCAUGUGUCUCAGCCACAUGGCUUAAACACACAUUCAUGUACUGUGAUAUGUCAAUCCAGUCUUACUCUUAUUAGAGCCUACACCAUGAGUGUUUUCAAAUCAUAUUAAGAUGUUGUAGGUCUCAACCUCAUAGUCUUACACUUGUUUUCAUAUCGUGACCUGCCAGUCUAGUUAGCAAUAUAAUUGCCUACCAGAGGCUUCAUAGAGGAACAUUUGCUUAGAUUCACUUACCUAGAUGAUCUGUAACACCCCUUACCCGAGACCGUUGUCAGAGUCGAGCACGAGGUAUUACUUAUCUUAUCUUACUAACUCGAAGCAUAAAAACUUGUUUUAAAAAUUAAUUUCACUAUUUAUAGCAAUUUGUCCAAUCGCGCAGCAGUUACUAAAUUAAUUAUAACUCGAGAUACGGAACUUGAAAUUUAACUCCGUAAAUUUUCCCUGAAACUAGACUCAUAUAUCUUCCUACCAUAAAAAUUUUAGGAUUUUUAGUUUAUCAAAUUAGUACAGUUUAUUAGUUAAAUUCUCCCCUGUUUCACAAAUCGACUGCCCUGACCUCUUAUCACUAAAAAUAAAAUGUAUCAUUGUGGGAUUUUCGUAUAGUGCUACCGCUUGCUUCUACAGAAAAUAGACUCAAUAAGGAAUCUAUACAUAUAAACUACAACUCAUAAAUAUUUUUUUAAAAUUUUUAAUGAUUUUAUAAACUCAAAACAGGGGUCACCAAAAACUGUUCUAACCCUGUCUCACCAAAAUUCACAUAUCUUAAAAUAUAAAUUCCUUUUGCUACACCGUUAUUUUUAUGUGAAAAUAGACUCAACAAGAUUUAUGUCAUUCAAUAUUUAAUUCAUUUUAUACUAUCCUAGGUGAUUUUUCAAAGUCACGUCACUGUUGCUGCCUGAAUUCUGUUUCUUUGCAAAAUUUUACCCUUUUAUGAUUUCCAUGCAUAGUUUAUCACUUAGACUCUUAUAACAACAAACACUUCCAUACUUAACCAUUUUAGCAACCAUUCAUCAUCAAAUACUUACACAUCAUUCUUUAGCAAGAUCAUAAAUACAAACAUUUAAAAUAACUAAAUCCCUUUACAUUCCAUACUCAACAUGGUUCAACAUAAAAAUACCGAGUUGCUGUGGUUGAUAGUGUGGACGAUCUCCGACUUCUUUAGGAUCCUUGAAGUAACCUUGCAAUACUAUAAGAGAAAGAGAAAUAAAAGACGUAAGCAUAAAGCUUAGUAAGUUUACUAGCAAAUAAAUAACAAUAUUUAACUAGAUAAUUAAACUCAAGUGUCUAUAUCUCUAGUUUACUAUUUAGUUAAUCUCAUUCUAGUUCUCUUGCUUGUUUACUUAGUAUACUUGUGUGCAUAACUUACUCCUCUCUUGCUGUAUAGUUGAAUAUCAAUUGAUAAUAUAAUAAGUUAUUAACUCUUAUAACUUACCUGAACUUGCCAUUUAUGUUUUUAACUGAACUUUCCUGAACAUGAUUCGUUAUUUAGCCCGUUGAGCUACAUUGGAACAAUAAGGAUACUCGGGUCUCUUCUGAUAAUAACAUGCCAAAGCCAUGUCCCAGACAUGGUCUUACAUGGGAUGUACUCAUGUCGGUGCCCAUUCCAUAUCCCAGACAUGGUCUUACGGGGGACCUCUCAUCUCGGUGCCAAUGCCAUGUCCCAGACAUGGUCUUACAUGGGACCUCUCAUCUCGGUGCCAACGCCAUGUCCCAGACAUGGUCUUACAUGGGACCUCUCAUCUCGGUGCCAACGCCAUGUCCCAGACAUGGUCUUACAUGGGACCUCUUUACCCAAAUGUCAUGACAUUCGUAUCCAGUACCAUCCUUACUAUUCAUGACAACCGAUAUAUAUAUAUACAUACUCACUAUUCACAAGGACUCGAACGAUUAUAUACUCAUCAACCACCUUAAAACAAUGUUCAUAAACUUAUCCAUUUCAUAUAAACAAAAGCAUAUAUAUUUAUAACCAAUGCAUAGAAUCACUUAAUUUAAACAGAUUCACUGGCACUUCACCUGAUAGGCUUAUAGUUUAAUUCAGUUCACCGGCACUUAGCCUACUAGGCUUGUAGCCUGAUUCAGUUCACCGGCACUUAGCCUGCUAGACGUAUAGUCCGAUUCAAUUCACCGGCAUUUAGCCUGCUAGACGUAUAGUCUGAUUCAAUUUACCGGCACUUAGCCUGCUAGACGUAUAGUCUGAAUAAUUUUACUGGUAAUAAAUCCGAUAGUAAUUUCUCCGUUGAAAUUGAAUUAUAUUCAAUUCUGCGUAACAAACAUGCACUUAAAACAUACUUGCAUAAUUCACAACAAUAAUUUCAGUCCAAAGAGCUGUAAUUCAUAUUCGAACUAUAUAUAUAUAAAUCCAUACAUAAAAAUUCAACUCAAAAUUUAUAACCUAUAUCUUUGAACCACAUAGGUACAUGAAAUUCAAACACCAAAAUCCAGCUCAAUAACUUCAUGAUUCAACCUAACAAAUUUAUGUAUAUAACUUUUUAUCUAAUUUCAAUACAAUAACUUAUACAUGUACGUAUAUACAUAUUCGAAUCUAACAUAUACAUAUAUAAUUUCAUACUUAAAUAUAUUCAAGACUUAUUCAUGAGUAUACAUAUAUAUUACAACUCACAUGUACAUAUAUAUACACAUUCAUACCUUUAACCAAGUCCAAGGCUUUAUACAUGUAUAUGCUUAUAUAUAUAUAUUCGGACCUUAUGUUUACAUAUAUAUAUUAUAUAAAUACCUUUGAUUAAAAACAAGUAUUUAUACAUAUAUAUAUUUUCGAACAUGAUACAUAUAUAUUUAUAUCAUUCAUACUUAAACAAAAUUCAAUCCAUAUACUUUCAAUUUCAGCUCACCAAAUUACUAUAGAUAUACAUGCAUAUAUACUGAUUUAAUAACCUCAAAUUGCUAAUAGACUUACCUCGGAUAUCAGCGGACACGAUCGAGUAUUCGAUUACUUUCGUUUUUCCCCGAUCCAAAUUCGUUUUCUUCGUUUUUUAUCUUAAUUAGACCUAGAGAUAGCCGAACCUUGUUGUUCUCUUUUCUUUUCUUUUCUUUUUCUUUUCUAUAUUCGGCCAAGAUGAAGAACAUGGCAUUUAAAAUUUGUUAUAUUAAACAUAUAUUAGCCUUAUUUUUAAUUUACUAUAUUAACCUUUACAUAUAUAUAACAUAUAUAAUAAGGUUACAUUAGUCCUUUGCCACCCACUAACUUACAUAGUGGACUAAUUGCAUAGUAAAACCUCUAAAUUAUAAAGACAACAAGAAUUAGGUCCUUUUAUAAUUAACCCCUAAAUUUUCAUUUUACGCGAUUAAGCCCUUUUAUUAAAUCGGACACUUAAACGACGAAAUUAAAACACGAAAAUUUCACACAAUCAAAUGCAUACAAAACAAUAUUAAUAAUAUUUUUCUAAUUCAAAUUUGUGGUCCCGAAACCAGUAUUCUGAUUAGGGUCAAAAACCGGGUUGUUACAACUCUCCCCCCUUAGGGAUUUUCGUCCCCGAAAAUCUUACCGGUGAAUAGGUUUGGAUAACGCUCUUUCAUUGUAUCUUCUAACUCCCAAGUUGCUUCUUCAACCCCAUGUUUAUGCCACAACACUUUAACUAACGGAAUUUUCUUAUUUCGUAAUUCUUUGAUCUCACGAGCCAGAAUGCUAAUCGGUUCUUCCUCAUAUGUCAUAUCAGAGUUAAUUUCAAUCUCCGUCGGACUAAUCACAUGUGAAGGAUCAGAUCGGUAUCUACGAAGCAUCGAAACAUGGAAUACGUUAUGAAUCUUUUCUAACUCAGGCAGUAACAUCAAUCUAUAAGCAACCAAUCCAACUCGCUCUAUAAUCUCAUACGGUCCAAUGAAUCUCGGACACAAUUUGCCUUUACGACCAAAUCUGAGUAUUUUCUUCCACGGUGAGACUUUUAAAAACACUUUAUCCCCGAUCUGAAAUUCUAUAUCCUUUCUUUUCAAAUUCGCAUAAGAUUUCUGACGAUCCGAUGCUGAUUUCAGACUGUCCCGAAUCACUUUCACUUUCUGUUCGGUCUCUUUAAUCAAAUCAACCCCGUGUAUCUUAUUUUCACUGAGCUCGGUCCAAUACAGUGGUGUACGACAUUUACAACCGUACAAAGCCUCAUAAGGUGCCAUUUUGAUACUAGAUUGAAAGCUAUUAUUAUAAGCAAAUUCAAUCAAAGGUAAGUAUCGUUCCCACGUACCUUCAAACUCGAGAAUGCAACAUCUCAACAUAUCCUCAAGUAUCUGAAUGAUUCAUUCAGAUUGACCAUCUGUCUGCGGAUCGAAAGCUGUGCUAAAAUGUAGUUUCGUACCUAAAGCAUCUUGUAGUUUCUUCCAAAAUCGCGAUGUGAAUCUCAGAUCUCUGUCUGAAACAAUAGAAAUAGGUACACCAUGCAACCUCACAAUUUGUGAAAUAUACAAUUCCGCAAGUUUAUCGAGCGAAAAAUCUGUACGAAUCGAAAUAAAAUGUGUCGAUUUUGUCAACCUAUCAACAAUAACCCAGAUUGCAUCUAUCUUGCUCGGUGUCAACGGUAAAUCGGAUACAAAAUCCAUCGUGACUCGAUCCCAUUUCCAUUGAGGUAUCAUGAUCGGCUGAAGCAACCCAGAUGGUACCUGAUGCUUGGCUUUAACUUGCUGACAAAUUAAACAUUUCGAAACAAAGUCAGAAAUGUCUCGUUUCAUACCUUGCCACCAAUAGUGCUGUUUCAGAUCGUUAUACAUUUUCGUGCUACCCGGAUGAACAGAAAAUCGACUACUAUGAGCUUCCUUCAAAAUCAUCUAAAUUAACUCUGAUUUUUUCGGAACACAUAAUCGGUUUCUAAAUCUCAAACAAUCCUCAGCAUCAACUAAAAACUCCGAAUCAAUAUUUAAGUCACAUUGAGCUCGUUUUGCAGUUAAAUCAUUAUCGACCUUUUGAGCUUCACAAAUCUGUUGUACAAAUAACGGUUUUGCUUUCAACUCAGCUACUAUCGCACCAUCAUCAGACAUAACCAUAUGUGCGUUCAUUGCACGCAAAGCAAACAGUGAUUUUCGACUUAGGGCAUCAGCAACAACAUUAGCCUUUCCCGGAUGAUAGUCAAUCACAAGCUCGUAUUCUUUCAGCAAUUCUAACCAUCGACGCUGUCUCAAAUUCAGAUAUUUCUGAGUCAUCAAAUAUUUCAGGCUUUUGGGAUCGGAAUAAACAUGACAUCUUUCACCAAACAGAUAGUGACGCCAUAUUUUUAACGCAAAUACAAUAGCGGCCAAUUCCAGAUCAUGUGUCGGAUAGUUUUUUUCAUGCGGCUUUAACUGUCUCAAGGCAUAGGCUACAACUUUGCCUUCCUACAUCAAAACACAACCCAAACCAUUUAAAGAUGCAUCACUAUAGAUAACAAACUCUUUACCCGAUUCGGGUUGAACUAAGACUGGAGCUUCGGUCAAAAGAACUUUCAACUGAUCAAAGUUUUUCUGACACUUUUCUGACCACUCGAACUUAACGUCUUUUUGUAGUAGCUUUGUCAUCGGGGUCGCAAUCAUAGAAAACCCUUUCACGAACCGUCUAUAAUAACCAGCGAGCCCCAGAAAGCUUCGAACAUCAGAGACAUUUCUCGGAGGUUUCCAAUCAAGUAUAGCUGAAAUUUUACCUGGAUCAACUCGAAUACCCGAUGCUGACACAACAUGGCCCAGAAAACUAACUUCACGUAACCAGAACUCGCAUUUACUGAACUUUGCAUACAACUGUUUAUCUCGCAAAGUUUGUAACACAAGUCUCAGAUGUUCAGUAUGCUCGGUUUCAUCACGAGAGUAGAUCAAAAUAUCAUCUAUAAAUACUACCACAAAUCGAUCCAGAUACUGUCUAAAAAUCUGAUUCAUCAAAUCCAUGAAAACAGCAGGUGCAUUAGUAAGUCCAAAAGGCAUAACCAAGAACUCAUAAUGUCCGUACCUCGUUCGGAAAGCUGUCUUUGGCACAUCAGAGUCUUUAACUCGCAACUGAUAGUAGCCUGAUCUCAGAUCUAUCUUCGAAAACACAGUAGCCCCUUUCAACUGAUCGAACAAAUCAUCAAUCCGUGGUAACGGAUACUUAUUCUUUAUAGUCACCUUAUUGAGUUGCCGGUAAUCAAUGCACAUUCUCAUUGUUCUGUCUUUCUUUUUCACAAAUAGAACUGGUGCACCCCAAGGAGAGAAACUCGGUCGUGUAAAACCUUUAUCAGUCAACUCUUGCAACUGUACUUUCAAUUCUUUUAAUUCGGUCGGUACCAUACGGUACGGAGCUAUCGAAAUUGGAGUUGUCCCUGGUACUAACUCAAUACCAAACUCUACCUCUCGAAUAGGUGGCAAACCCGGUAAUUCUUCGGGAAACACGUCUGAAUACUUACACACUACUGGCACAGAUUCAAUCUUCUUUUCGGUCACUUUACUAUCAAGAAAAAAUGCAAGGUAAUCUUCACAACCUUUUCUCACAUACUUCUGAGCCGACAUCGAGGAUAUUAUUGCUGGUAAACCAUUCAGAUCAUUAGAUUCAAUCCGAAUAAUCUCAUCAUUCUGACACCGUAGAUCAAUAGUUUUCCGUUUGCAGUUUACUAUAGCAUUAUGCAGAGUUAACCAAUCCAUACCCAGAAUUAUAUCAAACUCGUCAAAUGGUAGCAACAUCAAAUCAGCCAGAAAACAUAAAUCUCGAAUCAUCAACGGACAAUUCUUGCACACUUUGUCAACCAAAACACACCGGCCCAAGAGGUUCAAUACUUUAAUUACAAACUCAGUAGACUCAACAGGCAAAGUCUUACUGAAUACUAAAGUCUCACACACAUAAGAAUGAGUCGAACCAAGAUCAAUCAAUGCAAUAACAUUAGUAUCAUAAAGAGUGAAAGUACCAGUAAUAACAUCUGGAGAAGAAGCCUCCUCCCGAGCACGGAUGGCAUAUGCUCUGGCAAGUGCACGAGCCUCAGAUCGAACUGCCAUGUCCUUUGUUCCUCUCUGACUGCCACUUACAUUACUCAAUUGCCUCGGCGGUCUACCUCGUACAGGUACUUUACUCGGUCUGGUAUUCUACACAGUGUUUUGCUCAGCUACCAUCGGACACUCUCGAAUGAAAUGAUCCUUUGAACCGCACUUAAAGCAAGACCGAUCAUGUAAUCUGCAAUCUCCAGGAUGCCAUUUCCCACAAUGCUUGUACUCUGAUCUAUUUUGUCGAACACUACCAACGCUAGCAACUGAAGUAGCUCGUGAACUCACAGGGGGUCGAUCUCGAUCAUACUUAGGAAACCCUGCAGUAGCUUUAGAUCGGCUAUGAUCCUCUCUGGAUUUCAUUGAGGUCGACUGGAAUGAUUUACUGAAUGAUCUUUUACGAGAAUCUCGAGCUUCAUAGCCAGCUUUCCUCUUCUCUUUACUGAGCUCCUUAACUUUACAAGGUCGUUCAACAAGUACUACGAACUCUUUUAUCUCAAGUAUACCAAAUAACAGUUUAAUAUCUUCAUCCAGCCCAUCUUCAAAUCUUUUACACAUGAUAGCUUCAGUCGAAAUACAUUCUCGAGCAUAUCUACUGAGUCUCACAAAUUUCCGCUCAUAUUCUAUCACUGUCAUACGACCCUGUUUCAAUUCAAGAAAUUCCUUAUGCUUCUGAUCAAUGAAUCUUUGGCUGAUGUAUUUCUUACAGAACUCAAUCUGAAAGAAUUCCCAGGUCACUCGCUCUUUCGGAACCACCGAUACUAGUGUAUUCCACCAGUGAUAUGCAGUGUCCCGUAGCAAAGAUAUGGCACAUUUCAAGUACUCAUCAGGGGUGCAAGAUAACUCAUCAAACACUCGAAUAGUAUUAUCAAGCCAGAAUUCAGCUUGCUCAGCAUCAUCAUCAUCAGUAGCUCUGAACUCUUCGACCCCGUGUUUUCAAAUUUAGUCAACAGGAGGCUUAAGUAAUCUCAUCGGAUCACUUACUUGAGGUAUAAUAGGAAUCGAAGGUGGAUUAGUCGGGGGUGGAGUUUGUUGUGCAACCGGAUUAGUUCGGACAUAUUGAGUAAACCAGUCAUUCAUCAUUUGGUAGAAGGCUUGUUUAGCCUCUCCCUCCUGGUUACUCGAGGUCGGUCGAGAAUCUACCAGCUCUGUCCCUUGUGUGGGAGCAGGCGCUAUACUCUCAACAUCAUCGACUACGGCUGGAUCGGGAUCCAUUACUAUACGAAAACACAUUUUUAGACAUCAGCAGUCAUCGCACUAUCUUGGUAUAAAAAUAUGGCAUGUAUAGCUAGACUCAUACAUGCUACAUUAGUCCAAGAAUCGAUUAAACCGUAGCUCUGAUACCAAUAAAAUGUAACACCCCUAACCCGUAUCCGUCGCCGAAUUAGGGUUACGAGGCAUUACUGAACAAAUACAACCAUUUUUAAAACCAACUGAUCACAAACAUGAAAAUUAAAUCAUUUUCACAUAGCUAUUUAUAAUUUACAAUCAACAUCUAACCAACAUCGUACUCAAACCUAUACAUGCCAUAAGAUCAAGUUCAAAUAUUUAACAAAAUACCAAAAGGGGUCGAAAGUGUGAUAGACUAUGCUGAUGAUCCCCGAGCUCGUAACGCAUCUCCAAAAUCUAUAAAAACAAAUGGACAAAAACAAUCAAAGUAAGCUUUUAUAGCUUAGUAAGUCUAUAGCAUAUCUAAAAUACAUAUAAAAGAAUCAUAUAAUUCUUAAAAUAAAUUUAUUGAAAUCACAAUUAUCAAUUAUAAUUACUAAUCGAACAUUGCUAUAUUAAGUCAUCUUGUUUAAAUCUAAAAGGAUGUGUAUUUAUCUAAUACACAUGAACGGACAAAUGUAUAUACAUUAUAUGCAUAUAAUCAAUUUACUAACAUAAUCAUUAAUUGCAUAUACGGAUUUCUAUAGUACUUAUUGUUCGCACUUAAUCGGAUCCAUUUAAAUAUAAUUGUUCAAAUACAUAUACCAAAAGCAUAAUAAUUUUAUACUUGAUCAACUAUAAGUGCCGAAUGCACAUAUACACCUAUACCCACCUAUGCCGAAUGCAUACAUAUAUACACAUAUAUAUAUAUCCAACAAUUUCGUGACAACCGAUAUAUAUAUACAUACUCACUAUUCACAAGGACUCGAACGAUUAUAUACUCAUCAACCACCUUAAAACAAUGUUCAUAAACUUAUCCAUUUCAUAUAAACAAAAGCAUAUAUAUUUAUACCCAAUGCAUAGAAUCACUUAAUUUAAACAGAUUCACUAGCACUUCACCUGAUAGGCUUAUAGUUUAAUUCAGUUCACCGGUACUUAGCCUACUAGGCUUGUAGCCUGAUUCAGUUCACCGGCACUUAGCCUGCUAGACGUAUAGUCCGAUUCAAUUCACCGGCAUUUAGCCUGCUAGACGUAUAGUCCGAUUCAAUUUAUCGGCACUUAGCCUGCUAGAUGUAUAGUCUGAAUAAUUUUACUGGUAAUAAAUCCGAUAGUCAUUUCUCCGUUGAAAUUGAAUUAUAUUCAAUUCUGCGUAACAAACAUGCACUUAAAACAUACUUGCAUAAUUCACAACAAUAAUUUCAGUCCAAAGAGCUGUAAUUCAUAUUCGAACUAUAUAUAUAAAUCCAUACAUAAAAAUUCAGCUCAAAAUUUAUAACCUAUAUCUUUGAACCACAUAGGUACAUGAAAUUCAAACAACAAAAUCCAGCUCAAUAACUUCAUGAUUCAACCUAACAAAUUUAUGUAUAUAACUUUUUAUCUAAUUUCAAUACAAUAACUUAUACAUGUACGUAUAUACAUAUUCGAAUCUAACAUAUACAUAUAUAAUUUCAUACUUAAAUAUAUUCAAGACUUAUUCAUGAGUAUACAUAUAUAUUACAACUCACAUGUACAUAUAUAUACACAUUCAUACCUUUAACCAAGUCCAAGGCUUUAUACAUGUAUAUGCUUAUAUAUAUAUAUAUUCGGACCUUAUGUUUACAUAUAUAUUAUAUAUAAAUACCUUUGAUUAAAAACAAGUAUUUAUACAUAUAUAUAUUUUUGAACAUGAUACAUAUAUAUAUUUAUAUCAUUCAUACUUAAACAAAAUUCAAUCCAUAUACUUUCAAUUUCAGCUCACCAAAUUACUAUAGAUAUACAUGCAUAUAUACUGAUUUAAUAACCUCAAAUUGCUAAUAGACUUACCUCGGAUAUCAGCGGACACGAUCGACUAUUCGAUUACUUUCGUUUUUCCCCGAUCCAAAUUCGUUUUCUUCGUUUUUUUAUCUUAAUUAGACCUAGAGAUAGCCGAACCUUGUUGUUCUCUUUUCUUUUCUUUUCUUUUUCUUUUCUAUAUUCGGCCAAGAUGAAGAACAUGGCAUUUAAAAUUUGUUAUAUUAAACAUAUAUUAGCCUUAUUUUUAAUUUACUAUAUUAACCUUUACAUAUAUAUAUAACAUAUAUAAUAAGGUUACAUUAGUCCUUUGCCACCCACUAACUUACAUAGUGGACUAAUUGCAUAGUAAAACCUCUAAAUUAUAAAGACAACAACAAUUAGGUGCUUUUAUAAUUAACCCCUAAAUUUUCAUUUUACGCGAUUAAGCCCUUUUAUUAAAUCGGACACUUAAACGACGAAAUUAAAACACGAAAAUUUCACACAAUCAAAUGCAUACAAAAUAAUAUUAAUAAUAUUUUUCUAAUUCAAAUUUGUGGUCCCGAAACCAGUAUUCUGAUUAGGGUCAAAAACCGGGUUGUUACAACUCUCCCCCCUUAGAGAUUUUCGUCCCCGAAAAUCUUACCGGUGAAUAGGUUUGGAUAACGCUCUUUCAUUGUAUCUUCUGACUCCCAAGUUGCUUCUUCAACCCCAUGUUUAUGCCACAACACUUUAACUAACGGAAUUUUCUUAUUUCGUAAUUCUUUGAUCUCACGAGCAAGAAUGCUAAUCGGUUCUUCCUCAUAUGUCAUAUCAGAGUUAAUUUCAAUCUCCGUCGGACUAAUCACAUGUGAAGGAUCAGAUCGGUAUCUACGGAGCAUCGAAACAUGGAAUACGUUAUGAAUCUUUUCUAACUCAGGCAGUAACAUCAAUCUAUAAGCAACCAAUCCAACUCGCUCUAUAAUCUCAUACGGUCCAAUUAAUCUCGGACACAAUUUGCCUUUACGACCAAAUCUGAGUAUUUUCUUCCACGGUGAGACUUUUAACUUGCUCGGUGUCAACGGUAAAUCGGAUACAAAAUCCAUCGUGACUCGAUCCCAUUUCCAUUGAGGUAUCAUGAUCGGCUGAAGCAAUCCAGAUGGUACCUGAUGCUCGGCUUUAACUUGCUGACAAAUUAAACAUUUCGAAACAAAGUCAGAAAUGUCUCGUUUCAUACCUUGCCACCAAUAGUGCUGUUUUAGAUCGUUAUACAUUUUCGUGCUACCCGGAUGAACAGAAAAUCGAAUACUAUGAGCUUCCUUCAAAAUCAUCUGAAUUAACUCUGAAUUUUUCGGAACACAUAAUCGGUUUCUAAAUCUCAAACAAUCCUCAGCAUCAACUAAAAACUCCGAAUCAAUAUUUAAGUCACAUUGAGCUCGUUUUGCAGUUAAAUCAUUAUCAACCUUUUGAGCUUCACAAAUCUGUUGUACAAAUAACAGUUUUGCUUUCAACUCAGCUACUAUCGCACCAUCAUCAGACAUAACCAUAUGUGCGUUCAUUGCACGCAAAGCAAACAGUGAUUUUCGACUUAGGGCAUCAGCAACAACAUUAGCCUUUCCCGGAUGAUAGUCAAUCACAAGCUCGUAAUCUUUCAGCAAUUCUAACCAUCGACGCUGUCUCAAAUUCAGAUAUUUCUGAGUCAUCAAAUAUUUCAGGCUUUUGGGAUCGGAAUAAACAUGACAUCUUUCGCCAAACAGAUAGUGACGCCAUAUUUUUAACGCAAAUACAAUAGCGGCCAAUUCCAGAUCAUGCGUCGGAUAGUUUUUUUCAUGCGGCUUUAACUGUCUCAAGGCAUAGGCUACAACUUUGCCUUCCUACAUCAAAACACAACCCAAACCAUUUAAAGAUGCAUCACUAUAGAUAACAAACUCUUUACCCGAUUCGGGUUGAACUAGGACUGGAGCUUCGGUCAAAAGAACUUUCAACUGAUCAAAGUUUUUCUGACACUUUUCUGACCACUCGAACUUAACGUCUUUUUGUAGUAGCUUUGUCAUCGGGGUCGCAAUCAUAGAAAACCCUUUCACGAACCGUCUAUAAUAACCAGCGAGCCCCAGAAAGCUUCGAACAUCAGAGACAUUUCUCGGAGGUUUCCAAUCAAGUAUAGCUGAAAUUUUACUUGGAUCAACCUGAAUACCCGAUGCUGACACAACAUGGCCCAGAAAACUAACUUCACGUAACCAGAACUCGAAUUUACUGAACUUUGCAUACAACUGUUUAUCUCGCAAAGUUUGUAACACAAGUCUCAGAUGUUCAGUAUGCUCGGUUUCAUCACGAGAGUAGAUCAAAAUAUCAUCUAUAAAUACUACCACAAACAGAUCCAGAUACUGUCUAAAAAUCUGAUUCAUCAAAUCCAUGAAAACAGCAGGUGCAUUAGUAAGUCCAAAAGGCAUAACCAAGAACUCAUAAUGUCCGUACCUCGUUCGGAAAGCAGUCUUUGGCACAUCAGAGUCUUUAACUCGCAACUGAUAGUAGCCUGAUCUCAGAUCUAUCUUCGAAAACACAGUAGCCCCUUUCAACUGAUCGAACAAAUCAUCAAUCCGUGGUAACGGAUACUUAUUCUUUAUAGUCACCUUAUUGAGUUGCCGGUAAUCAAUGCACAUUCUCAUUGUUCCGUCUUUCUUUUUCACAAAUAGAACUGGUGCACCCCAAGGAGAGAAACUCGGUCGUGCAAAACCUUUAUCAGUCAACUCUUGCAACUGUACUUUCAAUUCUUUUAAUUCAGUCGGUGCCAUACGGUACGGAGCUAUCGAAAUUGGAGUUGUCCCUGGUACUAACUCAAUACCAAACUCUACCUCUCGAAUAGGUGGCAAACCCGGUAAUUCUUCGGGAAACACGUCUGAAUACUUACACACUACUGGCACAGAUUCAAUCUUCUUUUCGAUCACUUUACUAUCAAGAAAAAAUGCAAGGUAAUCUUCACAACCUUUUCUCACAUACUUUUUUGCCGACAUCGAGGAUAUUAUUGCUGGUAAACCAUUCAGAUCAUUAGAUUCAAUCCGAAUAAUCUCAUCAUUCUGACACCGUAGAUCAAUAGUUUUCCGUUUGCAGUUUACUAUAGCAUCAUGCAGAGUUAACCAAUCCAUACCCAGAAUUAUAUCAAACUCGUCAAAUGGUAGCAACAUCAAAUCAGCCAGAAAACAUAAAUCUCGAAUCAUCAACGGACAAUUCUUGCAUAUUUUGUCAACCAAAACACACCGGCCCAGGGGGUUCAAUACUUUAAUUACAAACUCAGUAGACUCAACAGGCAAAGUCUUACUGAAUACUAAAGUCUCACACACAUAAGAAUGAGUCGAACCAAGAUCAAUCAAUGCAAUAACAUUAGUAUCAUAAAGAGGGAAAGUACCAGUAAUAACAUCUGGAGAAGAAGCCUCCUCUUGAGCACGGAUGGCAUAUGCUCUGGCAAGUGCACGAGCCUCAGAUCGAACUGCCAUGUCCUUUGUUCCUCUCUGACUGCCACUUACAUUACUCAAUUGCCUCGGUGGUCUACCUCGUACUGGCACUUUACUCGGUCUGGUAUUCUGCACAGUGUUUUGCUCAGCUACCAUCGGACACUCUCGAAUGAAAUGAUCCUUUGAACCGCACUUAAAGCAAGACCGAUCAUGUAAUCUGCAAUCUCCAGGAUGCCAUUUCCCACAAUACUUGUACUCUGAUCUAUUUUGUCGAACACUACCAACGCUAGCAACUGAAGUAGCUCGUGAACUCACAGGGGGUCGAUCUCGAUCAUACUUAGGAAACCCUGCAGUAGCUUUAGAUCGGCUAUGAUCCUCUCUGGAUUUCAUUGAGGUCGACUGGAAUGAUUUACUGAAUAAUCUUUUACGAGAAUCUCGAGCUUCAUAGCCAGCUUUCCUCUUCUCUUUCCCGAGCUCCUCAACUUUACAAGGUCGUUCAACAAGUACUACGAACUCUUUUAUCUCAAGUAUACCAAAUAACAGUUUAAUAUCUUCAUCCAGCCCAUCUUCAAAUCUUUUACACAUGAUAGCUUCAGUCGAAAUACAUUCUCGAGCAUAUCUACUGAGUCUCACAAAUUUCCGCUCAUAUUCUAUCACUGUCAUACGACCCUGUUUCAAUUUAAGAAAUUACUUACGCUUCUGAUCAAUGAAUCUUUGGCUGAUGUAUUUCUUACAGAACUCAAUCUGAAAGAAUUCCCAGGUCACUCGCUCUUUCGGAACCACCGAUACUAGUGUAUUCCACCAGUGAUAUGCAGUGUCCCGUGGCAAAGAUAUGGCACAUUUCAAGUACUCAUCAGGGGUGCAAGAUAACUCAUCAAACACUCGAAUAGUAUUAUCAAGCCAGAAUUCAUCUCGCUCAGCAUCAUCAUCAUCAGUAGCUCUGAACUCUUCGACCCCGUGUUUUUGAAUUUUGUCAAUAGGAGGCUUAAGUAAUCUCAUCGGAUCACUUACUUGAGGUAUAACAGGAAUCGAAGGUGGAUUAGUCGGGGGUGGAGUUUGUUGUGCAACCGGAUUAGUUCGGACAUAUUGAGUAAACCAGUCAUUCAUCAUUUGGUAGAAGGCUUGUUUAGCCUCUCCCUCCUGGUUACUCGAGGUCGGUCGAGAAUCUACCGGCUCUGUCCCUUGUGUGGGAGCAGGCGCUAUACCCUCAACAUCAUCGACUACGGCUCGAUCGGGAUCCAUUACUAUACGAAAACACAUUUUUAGACAUCAGCAGUCAUCACACUAUCUUGGUAUAAAAAUAUGGCAUGUAUAGCUAGACUCAUACAUGCUACAUUAGUCCAAGAAUCGAUUAAACCGUAGCUCUGAUACCAAUAAAAUGUAACACCCCUAACCCGUAUCCGUCGCCGAAUUAGGGUUACGAGGCAUUACUGAACAAAUACAACCAUUUUUAAAACCAACUGAUCACAAACAUGAAAAUUAAAUCAUUUUCACAUAGCUAUUUAUAAUUUACAAUCAACAUCUAACCAACAUCGUACUCAAACCUAUACAUGCCAUAAGAUCAAGUUCAAAUAUUUAACAAAAUACCAAAAGGGGUCAAAAGUGUGAUAGACUAUGCUGAUGAUCCCCGAGCUCGUAACGCGUCUCCAAAAUCUAUAAAAACAAAUGGACAAAAACAAUCAAAGUAAGCUUUUAUAGCUUAGUAAGUCUAUAGCAUAUCUAAAAUACAUAUAAAAGAAUCAUAUAAUUCUUAAAAUAAAUUUAUUGAAAUCACAAUUAUCAAUUAUAAUUACUAAUCGAACAUUGCUAUAUUAAGUCAUCUUGUUUAAAUCUAAAAGGAUGUGUAUUUAUCUAAUACACAUGAACGGACAAAUGUAUAUACAUUAUAUGCAUAUAAUCAAUUUACUAACAUAAUCAUUAAUUGCAUAUACGGAUUUCUAUAGUACUUAUUGUUCGCACUUCAUCGGAUCCAUUUAAAUAUAAUUGUUCAAAUACAUAUACCAAAAGCAUAAUAAUUUUAUACUUGAUCAACUAUAAGUGCCGAAUGCACAUAUACACCUAUACCCACCUAUGCCGAAUGCAUACAUAUAUACACAUAUAUAUAUAUCCAACAAUUUCAUGACAACCGAUAUAUAUAUACAUACUCACUAUUCACAAGGACUCGAACGAUUAUAUACUCAUCAACCACCUUAAAACAAUGUUCAUAAACUUAUCCAUUUCAUAUAAACAAAAGCAUAUAUAUUUAUACCCAAUGCAUAGAAUCACUUAAUUUAAACAGAUUCACUGGCACUUCACCUGAUAGGCUUAUAGUUUAAUUCAGUUCACCGGCACUUAGCCUACUAGGCUUGUAGCCUGAUUCAGUUCACCGGCACUUAGCCUGCUAGACGUAUAGUCCGAUUCAAUUCACCGGCAUUUAGCCUGCUAGACGUAUAGUCCGAUUCAAUUUACCGGCACUUAGCCUGCUAGAUGUAUAGUCUGAAUAAUUUUACUGGUAAUAAAUCCGAUAGUCAUUUCUCCGUUGAAAUUGAAUUAUAUUCAAUUCUGCGUAACAAACAUGCACUUAAAACAUACUUGCAUAAUUCACAACAAUAAUUUCAGUCCAAAGAGCUGUAAUUCAUAUUCGAACUAUAUAUAUAUAAAUCCAUACAUAAAAAUUCAGCUCAAAAUUUAUAACCUAUAUCUUUGAACCACAUAGGUACAUGAAAUUCAAACAACAAAAUCCAGCUCAAUAACUUCAUGAUUCAACCUAACAAAUUUAUGUAUAUAACUUUUUAUCUAAUUUCAAUACAAUAACUUAUACAUGUACGUAUAUACAUAUUUGAAUCUAACAUAUACAUAUAUAAUUUCAUACUUAAAUAUAUUCAAGACUUAUUCAUGAGUAUACAUAUAUAUUACAACUCACAUGUACAUAUAUAUACACAUUCAUACCUUUAACCAAGUCCAAGGCUUUAUACAUGUAUAUGCUUAUAUAUAUAUAUAUUCGGACCUUAUGUUUACAUAUAUAUUAUAUAUAAAUACCUUUGAUUAAAAACAAGUAUUUAUACAUAUAUAUAUUUUCGAACAUGAUACAUACAUAUAUUUAUAUCAUUCAUACUUAAACAAAAUUCAAUCCAUAUACUUUCAAUUUCAGCUCACCAAAUUACUAUAGAUAUACAUGCAUAUAUACUGAUUUAAUAACCUCAAAUUGCUAAUAGACUUACCUCGGAUAUCAGCGGACACGAUCGACUAUUCGAUUACUUUCGUUUUUCCCCGAUCCAAAUUCGUUUUCUUCGUUUUUUUAUCUUAAUUAGACCUAGAGAUAGCCGAACCUUGUUGUUCUCUUUUCUUUUCUUUUCUUUUUCUUUUCUAUAUUCGGCCAAGAUGAAGAACAUGGCAUUUAAAAUUUGUUAUAUUAAACAUAUAUUAGCCUUAUUUUUAAUUUACUAUAUUAACCUUUACAUAUAUAUAACAUAUAUAAUAAGGUUACAUUAGUCCUUUGCCACCCACUAACUUACAUAGUGGACUAAUUGCAUAGUAAAACCUCUAAAUUAUAAAGACAACAACAAUUAGGUGCUUUUAUAAUUAACCCCUAAAUUUUCAUUUUACGCGAUUAAGCCCUUUUAUUAAAUCGGACACUUAAACAACGAAAUUAAAACACGAAAAUUUCACACAAUCAAAUGCAUACAAAAUAAUAUUAAUAAUAUUUUUCUAAUUCAAAUUUGUGGUCCCGAAACCAGUAUUCUGAUUAGGGUCAAAAACUGGGUUGUUACAACUCUCCCCCCUUAGGGAUUUUCGUCCCCGAAAAUCUUACCGGUGAAUAGGUUUGGAUAACGCUCUUUCAUUGUAUCUUCUGACUCCCAAGUUGCUUCUUCAACCCCAUGUUUAUGCCACAACACUUUAACUAACGGAAUUUUCUUAUUUCGUAAUUCUUUGAUCUCACGAGCCAGAAUGCUAAUCGGUUCUUCCUCAUAUGUCAUAUCAGAGUUAAUUUCAAUCUCCGUCGGACUAAUCACAUGUGAAGGAUCAGAUCGGUAUCCACAGAGCAUUGAAACAUGGAAUACGUUAUGAAUCUUUUCUAACUCAGGCAGUAACAUCAAUCUAUAACCAACCGAUCCAACUCGCUCUAUAAUCUCAUACGGUCCAAUGAAUCUCGGACUCAAUUUGCCUUUACGACCAAAUCUGAGUAUUUUCUUCCACGGUGAGACUUUUAAAAACACUUUAUCCCCGAUCUGAAAUUCUAUAUCCUUUCUUUUCAAAUCCGCAUAAGAUUUCUGACGAUCCGGUGCUGAUUUCAGACUGUCCCGAAUCACUUUCACUUUCUGUUCGGUCUCUUUAAUCAAAUCAACCCCGUGUAUCUUAUUUUCACUGAGCUCAGUCCAAUACAGUGGUGUACGACAUUUACGACCGUACAAAGCCUCAUAAGGUGCCAUUUUGAUACUAGAUUGAAAGCUAUUAUUAUAAGCAAAUUCAAUCAAAGGUAAGUAUCGUUCCCACGUACCUUCAAACUCGAGAAUGCAACAUCUCAACAUAUCCUCAAGUAUCUGAAUGAUUCGUUCAGAUUGACCAUCUGUCUGCGGAUGGAAAGCUGUGCUAAAAUGUAGUUUCGUACCUAAAGCUGUGCUAAAAUGCACACAAAAUAAACACACAAAAUAAUAUUAAUAAUAUUUUUCUAAUUCGGAUUUGUGGUCCCGAAACCACUAUUCCGAUUAGGGUCAAAAACCGGGUUGUUACAAUUCUGCUUCUUCUGCAUCAUCAUCUUUGGUAGCUCGAAAUUCUUCAGCCCCUUACUUCCUAAUCUUAUCAACAGGUGGUCUCUCACUGAUGACUAUACCUGCAGCUAGGGAAACUACAUGAGGAACCUGUGAAUCCUGAAGGGGUGGAGGUCUUACACCCGGAUUCAUACGAACGAACUCGGCAAACCAAUCAUUCAUGGCUUGGAAGAAGGCUUCUCUAGCUCCUCCUCCCUGUCUAACUGAUGCAGGUCUUUCACUAACGUUAACAUCUAGUGGCACCGUCCUUUCUGCGGAAGUAGGCGCAUUACUCUCUACUUCAUCUGCACCAGCUCGUUCAGGAUCCGUAACUAUAAAAUAAAAUAUUUUAAAAUCGUCAAGAGUCGUCACACUAUCAAAAUAUAUAAGUAUGGCAUGUAUAGGUAGACUUUUAUUCAUACUGCAUAUUUCUGAGAACCGAUUAAACCUGCUCUGAUACCAACAAAUGUAACACCCCUUACCCAAGACCAUUUUCGGAGUCGAGCACGAGGCAUUACUUAUCUUAUCUUACUAACUCGAAGCAUAAAAACUUAUUUUAAAAAUUAAUUUCACUAUUUACAGCAAUCUGUCCAAUCGAGCAGCAGUUACUAAAUUAAUAAUAACUCGAGCUACGGAACUUGAAAUUUAACUUCGUAAAUUUUCACUGAAACUAGACUCAUAUAUCUUCCUACCAUAAAGUUUUUAGGAUUUUUUGUUUAGCCAACUAGUACAGUUUAUUAGUCAAAUUCUCCCCUGUUUCACCAAUCGAUUGCCUUGACCUCUUAUCACUAAAAAUAAAAUUUCUCAAUGUGGGAUUUUCGUAUAGUGCUACUGCUUGCUUCUACAAAAAAUAGACUCAAUAAGGAAUCUAUAAAUAUAAACUACAGCUCCUAAAUAUUUUUUUAAAAAUUUUAAUGAUUUUCUAAACUCAAAAUAGGGGUCACCAAAAACUGUUCUAACCCUGUCUCACCAAAAUUCACAUAUCUUAAAAUAUAAAAUUCAUUUUGCUACACCGUUAUUUUUAUCUGAAAAUAGACUCAACAAGAUUUAAAUUCAUAUAUCAUUCACUCUUUAAUUCAUUUUAUACUAUCCUAGGUGAUAUUUCAAAGUCACGUCGUUGUUGCUGCCUGAAUUCUGUUUCUUUGCAAAAUUGUACCAUUUUAUGAUUUCCAUGCAUAGUUUAUCACUUACACUCUUAUAACAACAAACACUUCCAUACUUCACCAUUUUAGCAACCAUUCAUCAUCAACUACUUACAUAUCAUUCUUUAUCAAGAUCAUAAAUACAAACAUUUAAAAUAACUAAAUCCCUAUACAUUCCAUACUCAACAUGGUUCAACAUAAAAAUACCGAGUUGCUGUGGCUGAUAGUGUGGACGAUCUCCGACUUCUUUAGGAUCCUUGAAGUAACCUUGCAAUACUAUAAGAGAAAGAGAAAUAAAAGACGUAAGCAUAAAGCUUAGUAAGUUUACUAGCAAAUAAAUAACAAUAUUUAACUCAGAUAAUUAAACUCAAGUGUCUAUAUCUCUAGUUUACUCUUUAGUUAAUCCCAUUCUAGUUCUCUUGCUUGUUUACUUAGUAUACUUGUGUGCAUAACUUAAUCUUCUCUUGCUGUAUCGUUGAAUAUCAAUUGAUAAUAUAAUAAGUUCUUAACUCUUAUAACUUACCUGAACUUGCCAUUUAUGUUUUUAACUGAACUUUCCUGAACAUGAUUCGUUAUUUAGCCCGUUGAGCUACAUUGGAACAAUAAGGAUACUCGGGUCUCUUCUGAUAAUAACAUGCCAAAGCCAUGUCCCAGACAUGGUCUUACAUGGGAUGUACUCAUGUCGGUGCCCAUUCCAUGUCCCAGACAUGGUCUUACGGGGGACCUCUCAUCUCGGUGCCAAUGUCAUGUCUCAGACAUGGUCUUACAUGGGACCUCUCAUCUCGGUGCCAACACCAUGUCCCAGACAUUGUCUUACAUGGGACCUCUCAUUUCGGUGCCAACGCCAUGUCCCAGACAUGGUCUUACAUGGGACCUCUUUAUCCAAAUGUCAUGACAUUCGUAUCCAGUAUUAUCCUUAUGUAUCAACGGGACUUUUUAAUUUUAAUUCUCUAUCAUUUCAUGCUUGGAUAAUCAUCAAAUAAAUUCAUGAAAUAAAUUCAUAGUUGCUGGAAAAUAGCAGCAUUAAUAAAAAUUAUUGAAAUAUUUCAUUUAUUUACCGUAAACUUACCUUGGUACCGAAUAUAGCCCAAUUCACCAACUUAGUCUUCAACUUUAUUCUUUCCUUUGUCUAACCUCGAGUUUCAUUCUUCUUGAUCUAAAAUAGAAAAUUUAACUUAUUUAAUACUCACAUUCAUCAAAACAGCCCUCGACUCUAACUUUUCAAAAUUAUGAUUUUGCCCCUAAACUUUUACAUAAUUACAUUUUUCCCCAAGGCUCGAAAAUUCAACUUCAUCUCAUAUUCUUAUGUUUUAUGGCAUGCUGAAUAUUUUUCUCUUCUAUGACAAUAUCAAAUUCUCACUCUAACACUUACUUAUGUACAUUAGAGAUUUUUACCGAUUAUGUCAACUUACUCGUUUUUGCUUAAAAUCGGCUAACAAAAGUUGUUUAACAUAAUUUAUAGCUUCAUAUUCUAUCAUAAAACAUCAAAAUAAACACUUUUCACCUAUGGGUAUUUUUCCAAAUAUAAACCCUAGGUUAAAUUAUUGCUAGAAUAAGCUAAAUUAAGUUACCGGGACUCCAAAAACGUAAGGAACAUUAAAAACGGGGCUUGGGAUCACUUACUAUGGAGCUUGGAAGCUUGAAAACCCUAAAUAUGGCUUACCCCCUUGCUGAUUUCGUCCAAAUGAAGAAGAUGAGCAUAAUUUGUCAUCUUUUUCCCUUUUAAUUCAUUUUAAUUACUAGAUUACCAAAUUGCCCCUAACUUAAAAAUUUCCUAUUUCACUUAUCUCAUGUCCAUUUUUGUCUAAAAACUUAACCAAUGGUCUAAUUACCAUAUAAAGACCUCCAAUUUAAAGUUUCAUAACAAUUGGACACCUCUAACAUGUAGAACUCAACUUUUGCACUUUUUGCAAUUUAGUACUUUUGACUAAAUUGAGUGCCCAAACUUCAAAAUUUUCGAAUAAAAUUUUCAUGAAAUCAUUUUGUGAAAUCAUAGACCAUAAAAAUAUAAGAAAAAUAAAAUUUUCCUCAUCGGAUUUGUGAUCCCGAAACCACUGUUCCGAUAAUCUUAAAUUUGGGCCAUUACAUGAUCACCUUUUUACUAGCUCAUACAUCUCCUACAUCAGACCUUACAUGCAUGCUUACCAAACUUUAUUCUUUUUAACAAAACUUUAUACAUAUCAUCGUAGCACAUCUUUCAUCUUUACUAAACUCAUAUUUUUACCAAUUUCUGUAGACAUCAUCAUCAUCAUCCUAUAUAUAUGCUUCUUGUUUGAACAGUUCAUAUCAAAGAGUCAAGAUAGAGACCCACUUGACACUCACCUACUGCAGUUCAAAGCUCUAAACUUAACCAUCCUUCUCAAACCAGCAGUAAAAACUGCUUAUAGAACAUAGAAUCACCAUUAAAAACCCAUUUACAUACAAAUUACUAUCAUCUUAAUCACUUUUCCACUGUUAAUUUAUAAAUAAGUGUUAAGUAGUAAAUAAAUAAAAAAAUUAACUAAGUUUUCAAAAAAAAAGUCACUGUGACGAGAAGAAUGUUAAAAUUAAUUGGUGUUUGUUAACUCAUAUGUUUUUCUAAAAAUGGGUUAAGUUUUCUUCUGAAAUAAACAAAUGUUUUAAAAUGAUUGUUUUAUAAACUCCGAUCGUACUAUCCCAUCUUGGUGGCUGAUGUAAUAUCCCAAAUUCAGGUCUAACAUCUAAGUCGGGUUGGAUAGGUUACAAUAUAUAUAGAAAGAUUGAUAAAUAAUGCAAACUUGAAUACAAGCAAAGAAAGAAAUCAAUCAAUGUGAAUGACUAACAAGUUUAAAAUCAUAUAUUUGCAUUAUAUUUUGUAAAGCACAAGAUUGUCAUGGAAUUAGACAAUUUGUUUUGAUAAUGGUUAUAUUUUAUAUAGAUUUACUUUUAUGCACUUUCAUAUUGAGUUGAUCAAAAGUUUUGAAACUUUAUAGAAAAUUUGAAUGAAAGAGCAUAUUGAUAUAUAUGCUAUCUUGAGUGUUGAAUUAAGCAUUCUUUAGUAAAAGAGUGUACAUUUCGCACAUGGUAGGUGUGUUGGUUUCUUAUAUAUUAAUUAAGCACAAAUUAAAGAAAAAUAAUAUAUAUCACCAUAGUGUUGUAAUAUUUUGUAUAAUUUGUGAAAUUAUACAAGCAAAUAAGUUUACCUAUCUUGUUAAAUAAAACUCAUUAAGUUGGUUCUUAAUCUUGAAGAAUUAAAUAGGUUGGCUUCUUUAUUCAUUUUAUCCAACUACAAGUUAGAUUAAAGUUGUGGAAAUAGAAUGGUUGAAAAUUUGUGUUAAUGAGAAUUAGAGUUAUGGCCACAACUGAUGCCAACUAUUUCCUAAAAACAGGGAAUGAUGUCCAAAAACAUGCUGUAAAAUAAAAAUUUGGACAUGUUAGAAUAUGAAUUUAUUAUAUUAUAGUUUCAAUGUAAUACCCUUAUCCCAUCUCUGUUGCCGGAUUAGGAUUUCAGAGUAUUACUGAGAAAAAUAGAACAUUUAACUUUCCAACAGAAACAAUUGUACAAUUAAAUACCAACAUAUAACAAUUGAAUCUAAUCAUGGCAAAUAUUACACUUUUGGACCUUGAAUCGAGCCUAUGGGGCCCUAGAAACAGUUUAGGAACAAUCUGGGAUCAAAUCAAAACAAAUCAGAACAUUUUGAAAAAACAUAAAAAUUUAGGAAUACAGAGGUCACAGGCCAUAUGGCCAAGUCGUGUGACAUAGCCUAGAUUGUGUAAACAUCCGAAGUCAGGACACAUAGCUGUGUCCCAGCCUGUGUGUCUACUCAUGUGUAUAUUUGAAAUAGGGUCACACAGUCGUGUUGCAGACUGCCAAACGUGUGUGUAUUCAAAGUGAGGUCGCAAGACCAUGUGGCCGACCGUGCCACAAACUGUUUUGAGACACAAGGUCAUGUCUCAGACCGUGUAAAACAUGCACUUAAAAUAAUAAAUACACACGACCGUAUCUAGUGACUAUGUGUGGCACAUGGUCGUGUGGUAGCUUGUGUCUCAGGUCGUGUGCUCCAUUUUUAACCCCUAAAUCAAGCCAAUCAAGCAUCAUUUCUUAUACAACAAGACAUACCAUAUCUAACUAAUUUUACAUGGUUAAAAACACAUUCAAAUCAACAAAUACAUGCCAAAAUUUCGUUCAUCCUAUGUCUAACCAAUAUGCCAUCAAAAGGCACCUCAAUCCAUACAUCCAUUCAACUCAAGAACAAAGUUACAAUAAAUGAACAAGUUUUAUCAUUAGUUAACCAUUCAUGCCUAAAACCACUAAUCUAAUUGACCAAAAUAUGGGCAUACUCAACAAGCAACCAUUUCAAAACAUCAUCAUCAAAUCUUUAUAUACCAUUUAUGAUCAACUUAAUUAUAUUCAACACAAGUACACAUCCAAAAUCAAGCACAUCACUAAGUAUGCCAAAAUAACUUAACUAUUUACAUAUCAACAAUAAGACACCAUAUCCCAAAAUGAAAUAAAAAAGCUACCAAGAUGGUUGGAUAGUGUGUGCUCCAAAACAAUUCAUCCGGUUAGUCCACAAAACGCCAAAUCAACCAAUAUAGAUAAACAAAAAGGUAAGUUCUAAUUCUUGAUAUUCAAAUGCAAGAUCACACCACAUUAGUAUAUAUUUAUUUACAUCAUAAAUGAUACCUUCCAAAAUUCAUAACCAAUUCAUCAUCCACAAUUUCUCAAUACAACCAUUAAUAUUUAUAAACAAGAACUUCAUAGUAACAUUUAUCAUUUAGUAGUAAUAUAAUUAUCCAACAAAAUUGAACAAAUAAAUGCGUUUUAAGUCAUUUGAUACAUAGCCUGCUGAACUAUAGUAACUUGACUCGGAUACUCAUGAUACUACAUCACACCAAAGGUAUCAAUGAUGCAUAACAGAGGCACCGAAGUGCAGACAAAUGCAUGAAUGUGCAAUCAGAGGCACCGAAGUGAAAACAGAUGCACCAAAGUACAAACCCGUACGAGUGCGCAUUAAAACCCUAUUGGCAUGCUAAUCGUAUCCUAAUUGUUUACUACGUUCAACUGGGCAUUAUACUUAAAAUCAUAAUAUCAAUAAAUCCAUCAUUUAGAGGCACUUCUUAUUUCCGUACACAUACUAUAAAUAUGUAACUUUCAUUUCAAUAAUAUGCAAUAACAAUAAUUACCAUCAUCAAACAUUCAUUUUCUAUUUGUACUUAAUUGCAAAAUUUAAUAAUAUAUAAGUAACUCAUGAAAUUUCACAUAUAUACCAUUAACUAGAAAACAAUAAUAUAAUCAUAAAGUGACACACAUAUACAUAUUAUUACACUAUGAACUUACCUAAAAUCUACUUUCGAUUAAUACACAGGGACUACUCCGCUAUUUUUUCCCUUUUCUCGGUUAUUGUCUUUUUGACUCGGUUCUUGAUCUAUAUAGUAAUUAAAUUCAAUUUAUGAAAUUCACAUACAUUUAAAACUCAAUUCAAUGCAUGAUACCCUUAUGUUUUCAUUAUUUUCACAUUUUUCUUAAACUUUUACAUUUCUCACAAUUUAGUCCCUACAAAAUUUAACAAAAUUUUACAAUUUUCCAUGUUAGUUGAACUUCUUUCGAAACUAGUACAAUCCCUAAUUAUUCACAAUUCACAAAAUUUCUAUGCAAAUUUUAAUAAUUCACACAUUGAUCAUUAAACUCAAAAUUAACACAAAUUUUUUUACAAAAAUAUCCUAAUCAACAUUCAAAUAUGUACAACUACCAUUAAAAAUCAUGAACACCAAAAUUCCAUUACUAACCAAUCCCUAAAACUUUAACAUUUUUAUAAUUCCAUCCUCGGGUUUAAUAGUUUAAGUUACAACGAGUUCAAAAACGUAAAAAUUAUUAAAAACAGGUAAGAGAAACACUUACAUGCACCAAUUUGCUAACCGAAACUUCAAGCUCCAAAAAUGGAGUUUUUUUUUUCUUUUUCGGUGGGAGAGAGUUGAGAAGAUGAUGAUACCAUUUUUUUCUUUUGUUUCUUUUCUUUAAUCAAACUAAUUACUAAAUUAUCCUUUUAAUCUAAACUAAAUUAUUAACAUAGCAUGUCCGUAAUUAUCCAUUAACUAACCAUAAGGUUUAUCUAUCAACCAAGUCCAUUACUUUAGUUUUUCUUUAAAAAUCAAGCACAUUUAACAAAUAGAAGCCACUUUAGCAUCUUUUACAAUUUAGACCUUUUUACUAAAUUAACUAAACAGACAUUAAAAUUUCUUAGCCAAAUUUUAUUAUGACUCCAAUAUAACUCUAUAAGCAUAAAAUAAACAUAAAAUACUAACUCAUUUGUCGAAAUUGUGGUCCUGAAACCACCUUUUUUGAUACCACUGAAAAAUGAGAUAUUACAUUAAAUCUCUAAUUUAUGAUAAUGAAUGUGAGAGAAUAAUUUUCUUUGUUUAGAAAUACUAAUCAUUUUCUUUGUUUAGUAAUACUACAACUAGAAUGUGUUUCGACCCUAUUAUUAGAAACUAAUAAUGGAAACCCAACUUUUAAUUAGAAACCUCUAAUUUUAAAGUUUAAUAGGUAACACCCCGAAUUUUGGCCCUAGAAGAAAUAUGUUUUGAACAAGGGAACAGUUAGGAGACUGCACAUAAAUAUUUAGUUGUGCAAGGAAGUGACAUAAAUGAAUGUCUACUUCAGUGGUUGAGUGAUUUAGGAGUGUUUGGAACUGUCUGAGAAGUCAGGGAUUCAAGCAUUGCUUAUGCAAAAUUUUUAUUUUAAGUGAAUAAAAUCAUUGGAUCUAGAUAGUAAGUUCUUAAAUUAUUGUGGUUAAAAUAUGAUGCAAAAGAGUUGUUGGUCUAGUGGUAAGGGGUGUGUGGAGUGCACAUAGGGCCUAAGGUUCGAGUGGUGGCGCAUCAGAAAGGAAAUAUUUAUUUUGCUACUUGAGCUGUUUAGGUAGUGGAGUUGGACUGAAACACAACUAAGGGGAGUUUGCAUAGAAUUUGAAUGGAGUUGUUGGGGGAGUUGAGGAGAAACCGGUAGAAUAAUUUAAGGAGGGAUAAGGGGAGAGAUUUUAGGAGAAAAUCAAGGGAAGUGAGGGGAGUGAAGAAGUGUGCCGAAAGUGGACUUUGAUACUCAGGAAAUUUGGCCAGAAGGGAUACUGCUCAUUUUGGUAUACUUUUCAUUUCGGUUUUGUGUAGUGUUUCUCUCUCUUUUUGCUUUUUGGUGCCGAAUUUUUGCUAAGAUUUCGAGUACCACUCGGGUUUUUCUUUUGCUGCUUUUUUCUUUUAUCAUUUCUUUUGUUUUGGCCGAAUUUCUUUUUAGUUCCCUCCUUUGUCGAAUUCUUUUCUCUCUUCUCUUUGUUGCUUCUUUUCAUUUCUCUAUUUUUCCAAACCUUGACCGAACAGUGUUGAAGUAGUUCUGUGUUCCAUCUUUUGUCUAAAAUGCUCUUCUUCCUCUACUCCUUUUGAUCAACUAUUUGUCGAAUAUUGCCUUCUCUCCCCUUUUAUCUCUUUAAAUUUAUUUUCGGCUUGACAACAAUUCUCUAACAGUUCAAAUUUCUUGAGGAGUGAAAAAGUAUCGCAUAAUAUUAAAGUCAUCGAAACCUUUCUCUCAUCACUCGAUCAAAGGUAAGUAUGUAGGCUAGCAUUCUAAAGUGUAGGCUGAGUGCUUUCUAUGGUUUCAUAAGUUAUUAUGUUUGGAUUUAAACCACAUGAAUAAACAAUCCUAUUUAAUAAAAUCCGUUUGUAAUGCAGAUAUCCAUCAAAGAGAUUGUAGUCAACCUUCGUCAGUGAUAUAAGUAGGCUAAGUCACAUUUGACAAUCGAGGCUUUGGUGCUCGUGGAUCUUAGAGUGUUUUCACAAUCAGGUGUGUAAACACCCCACUGUAACCGUAGAACGACAAAAAGCUAAAAGGCCAAAAAUACGGUGUUUGAGACCACACAGGCGUGCGAUCUCUCAUGUGGUAAGCCCAACCCACAAAUCAUGGCCGAUAGACUGUAGAGGCCUCCAUGAACAUUUCCAUGGGCUUAGGCCGUAAUGGGCCACGUUGGGCCGAAAUGGGUCGUGUGGGUUCAAUAGGCUCGUGGGCACCAUACAGAUGAGAACCACGAUUUGUGAAAAAUACUGGACUGGGCUAUGAAGAUCUCAUAGCCGUGGAAAAAUCUGGGCUGAACAGGCCGCACAAGCGUGCGGGCCUACUUGGGCCGAGUAAUGGGCCUUAGGCCCAUUUGUACCAUUAUGACCAUUUAGGUUACCUGAGUCGCUCGAGGUAACUACGGACCUUUCGAGAGGUCGAUAUCUGCACCAAGACCCAAAAUAGGUAAAAUGAUCGAAAUACCCCUAUAGAGUAAAAUGACCGAAAUACCCCCAAAGGAUAAAAUGAUUGAAAUACCCCUAUAAGGUAAAACGAUCGAAAUACCCCCGUAGGAUAAAAUAACUAUUAUACCCCUAGAAGAUGAAAUGACUGUUAUGGCCUUAUGCUAUGUAUGACUGUUUUGCUCUAUGAUAUGUAUGACUAUGGUUGAGCAUGACAUUUUUCAUACACGUAUGAUAUUAUGUCAUGAUAUAUUGCAUGGGGAUGGAUUGUUAUAUUUGGAGGAAGUGUACUGUACUGACAAGGUUGCACGGGUCGCCCAAGACGACUGUGGACCUACUGAUGGCUAUAUGCCAUUUAUUUUACUGGCAGCUUUGCUGCAAUACUGUUUAAUGCUGCAACUGGUGCUAAUCUUGGUGUGUUUGGAUGGAUGGGUAGAUUUUAUCCCCCAUAUGGUGUGUUUGGCGGAACUGUAACACCCUUAACCUGAAUCCAUUCUGACAUUGUCUCACAAAAUUUAUUAUAUCUCAUAGUUUACAAUUUUAUUACUUACACCAUUUCUUCCAUGAGAAACUAGACUCAAUAAGUUUUAAUUCUAUAUUUUAUUCAUACUCUAAUUCGAUUUUCAUAAUUUAUGGUGAUUUUUCAAAGUGAGCCUACUGUUGUUGUCCAAAACUAUUUUAGUACAAGAUGUUUAUUACCAUGUUUAUAACACCCUUAUUUUCUUUCUCUACACUAUUUCUCAUCCCUUUCUCUUAUUUUCUCUUCACUUACAUAUUAAGAACAUAGGACCAUAUAUACAAAAAAACUUUACACUAACAUCAUUUCCAUACUUUUUCAAUAAUAUCAAACUUAAAAAUAUACUAAAAUCUUGAUGUACUUACCUUGUCAUAUUGAUUUUAAUCUUUAACUUGAUUUUCUCUCUCCUCCAGCUUCUAUUUCUUGAAUCUAACUUGAUAUUAUAGCUCCCCAUAGUCUCCUUGUAAUCUUUCUCUCUUGAUGGAUAUGGAAAUUCUUUUGAUUUCUAGAUGAAAAUAGUGAAUUUUUGGUGAAAGGACUAAAUUGUAAAGAAAGCAAAACUUUCUUUCUUCUCUUCUCCUCUUAACGUGAAUUGCAUGGAAAAGAUGGUGGGUUGGUUCCUUUUCAUCUUUCUUUCCACAUAUAUAUACUAAAUAAUAAAAUAAUAAAAUAUCAUUUAAAAAUCAAAUUAAAAUACUAAUAAACUAAUAUUUAUUUGUUUAUUUAAUCUAAAAUAUCUCCAACAUCAUCAUUAUCUUCUAGAUUUCUCUCUCUUCUAAUUGACCAUUUUGCCCUUCAUGAUAUUUUAAAAUUCCAUCCUUGAGUCAUCACUUAAUUUCGUAAAAUUUCAAUUUAGUCCCUCAAAAUUCCUCACCUUUUUUCAAUUUAGUCCUAAUACAUCCAUUUUCCUUAGUUUCUAGAUCAUUCCACCCUUAAAAUAUUUACACCAUUGGUCCUUCAAUUUUUUCAUAUUUACACUUUAACCCCUCAAUUUUUGAGUAUUUACUCUUGGGCAACAAAAUUUUUACGAUUUAAUCCUUUCUUGAGGUAAUAUGUCAUAAUAUACUUCCCAAUGUUGACAUAACUCCAAAAUUCCCUUUUUUGUCGCUUUAUUUCCUUAUUUUUUUAUAUCAAAGAUAAUAUCUUACUGUAAAAAUUUUUUUGGGGGGUAUUACAUUUCUCUCCCCCUCAAAAUAAAUUUCGUCCUCGAAAUUUCCUUAUUUUCUUUUGAUCAUGAACUUAUUUUUUCUUUAAUUCUAUAGUUCAUUUUUUUUGCAUAUAUUUACUUAGCUUAUCAUUUGUGUCUAUUCUUUAUUCUUUCAUUUCACAAUUUAUUUUUAAUUUAAUAUUUCAAACAUGAAUCAGAGAUAAACUUUUACCUUGUAACUAAAAUUAUUUACCUUUUUACCUGAGGCCCAGUGGACUAAAUAGAACACGUAGGAUAUAUGAAAUUGAUACAGAAGUGCUCUGUUAUACAUCAUUAAACAGAGAGCACUAAAGUGUUAUACGGGAGCAUAAAUGUGCUAAUAAUUGGAGAGCACUAGCGUGCUAUUAAUCAGAGAGUGCGCUAAGGUUCCUUAAUGAUAUACUACUAAUAUCCUAAUAGUUCUAAUCUCAUCUACUUGGGCAAAUUAUAUCAUGCAUGCAUACGACUUUUACACUUUGCGCAUAAUGCUUUUACAUACUUUACAAUUUAAACCUUGUACCAAUGAUUCGUAUAUUUAUACCUUCUCUACCUUUAAUACAUGUAAUAUAUUUCAAAAUUCACUAAUAAUCCAUAUAUAUCAUGUACUUCAUAUAUCAUUUUUACAUAUUAUGCAAUUUAGUCAUCAGCGCAAUAUUUCUUGUAGCAAUAUGUUUUUCUUUUAAUGACACAUAUAACAUUCAUCAUCGACAUGUAUUAUAAAACAUUUAUUCAUACUUUCAUGAGUUCCAAUUCAUCCUAAUCAAUUUUUUUUACUCAUAUACUUGAGUAUCACUUUCAACAUUAUCAGAAUUAGCUCGGUUAGGAAAACAUCUCUGUUUAUAAGUAAAACAAUUCUCAUCAGACUCGAGAGAUAUCACACUAUCACAGGUUACAUAAUGGCAUGCAUUUCUAGACUUCACAUAAGCUACGUUUGGUCCAAGAACCGACUAAAUCGUAGCUCUGAUACCAAUAAAUGUAACACUCUUAACCCGAAUCCAUUCUGACAUUGUCUCACAAAAUUUAUUAUAUCUCAUAGUUUACAAUUCUAUUACUUACACCAUUUCUUCCAUGAGAAACUAGACUCAAUAAGCUUUAAUUCUAUAUUUUAUUCAUACUCUAAUUCGAUUUUCAUAAUUUAUGGUGAUUUUUCAAAGUGAGCCUACUGUUGCUGUCCAAAACUAUUUUAGUACAAGAUGUUUAUUACCAUGUUUAUAACACCCUUAUUUUCUUUCGCUACACUAUUUCUCAUCCCUUUCUCUUAUUUUCUGUUCACUAACGUAUUAAGAACAUAGGACCAUAUAUACAAAAACUUUACAUUAACAUCAUUUCCAUACUUUUUCAAUAAUAUCAAACUUAAAAAUAUACUAAAAUCUUGAUGUACUUACCUUGUCAUAUUGAUUUCAAUCUUUAACUUGAUUUUCUCUCUCCUCCAGCUUCUAUUUCUUGAAUCUAACUUGAUAUUAUAGCUCCCCAUAGUCUCCUUGUAAUCUUUCUCUCUUGAUGGAUAUGGAAAUUCUUUUGAUUUCUAGAUGAAAAUAGUGAAUUUUUGGUGGAAGGACUAAAUUGUAAAGAAAGCAAAACUUUCUUUCUUUUCUCCUCUUAACGUGAAUUGCAUGGAAAAGAUGGUAGGUUGGUUCCUUUUCAUCUUUCUUUCCACAUAUAUAUACUAAAUAAUAAAAUAAUAAAAUAUCAUUUAAAAAUCAAAUUAAAAUACUAAUAAACUAAUAUUUAUUUAUUUAUUUAAUCUAAAAUAUCUCCAACAUCAUCAUUAUCUUCUAGAUUUCUCUCUCUUCUAAUUGACCAUUUUGCCCUUCAUGAUAUUUUAAAAUUCCAUCCUUGAGUCAUCACUUAAUUUCGUAAAAUUGCAAUUUAGUCCCUCAAAAUUCUUCACCUUUUUUCAAUUUAGUCCUAAUACAUCCAUUUUCCUUAGUUUCUAUAUCAUCCCACCCUUAAAGUAUUUACACCAUUGGUCCUUCAACUUUUUCAUAUUUACACUUUAACCCCUCAAUUUUUGAGUAUUUACUCUUGGGCAACAAAAUUUUUACGAUUUAAUCAUUUCUUGAGGUAAUAUGUCAUAAUAUACUUCCCAAUGUUGACAUAACUCCAAAAUUUCCCUUUUUGUCGCUUUAUUUCCUUAUUUUUUUAUAUCAAAGAUAAUAUCUUAGUGUAAAAAAAAAUUUUUUGGGUAUUACAGGAACAGAGUGGUGUGUAGAGGCUGGAUUGGGUAGGAUUUCUAACUGCAUAUCUACACUAAUUAAUGAUUUUGUAUUGUUACUACAUCGAUUAAUGAUAUUACAUACUGUUUACUGCAUGACUGAUAUUUGUUGCUGUUAUGGGCCAAGGCCCCACUGAUACUAUUACUGAAAUUGGGCAAAUGCCCUAUUGAUUAUUGGUAUUGUGAUGGGCUCAAGCCCAAUCGUUUAAUGUUACGGGAAAGGGCUUAGGCCCACACUGAACUGGACUGUUACUAUAACAGGCUCAGGCCCAAACUGUAUUUAUCUAUUGUUUAAUUGACUACUUACUUGUUAGGGGAUUGCACACUGAGUUUUCGUAAACUCAACCCGUUGUUUAACUGUACAGGUAAUCCCUAGUUGUAGUAGGGUCAGUGCUGCGAGGGACUCGAUGAUGGCCACACAACUGCAUCAGCUUUUGUUUUUAGCCUUUGAUUUAUAAGAAACUGAAUUUGGGUAUUUUUAUGUAAAAAGGCCUCUUUAAAGUUAUAAACUUUAAAUUGGGGUUUUUAUUUAUUUAGUUUGAUAUAAACUACUAGUUGUAGAAAAAGACGGGUUUUCAAAAGGUAAAUGUUUUCAAAGUUUCAAAAGGUAAAUGUUUUCAAAGACACCACGUUUUCGCAACAUUUCUAAAAAAAAACUUCCGCAAUGAAUGAGAUUUUGGAAAAUUUAUAACGUUUUAAAAGUGAUUAGCUUUUAAUGAUGCAUGCUUGGAAAUGAACAACCCGUUUUGGAAUCAUAGUUUAACAGCAAAAUGAUUAAUUGAUUUUAAAGAUUUCAACGACAACAAGUUUUACGCUAAACACCUUAAAGUGACACCGCCAGAUUCAACCAUAACUCCUAGGCCGGGUUUGGGGUGUUACAAUGUGUUUCAACCCUAUUAUUAGAAACUGAUACCCUAUUAUUAGAAACUGAUAAUGGAAACACAACUUUUAAUUAGAAACCUCUAAUUUUAAAAUUCAAUAGGUAAAAGCAAGUUAUCGUUAAGUGCCUGUGAUACGCUAGUAAAACUCAUUCUAGAAAAAAAAGUUUAAUGGAAACAAUUGUUAUCCAUUGCGUAUAGAGGAUGAAUUUGAAUACUAUUAAUUAAGUUCAUUGUUUAUUGUUUAAAUGUCUAAAGUAAGGGAGACAUUAAAAGAACUCUACCUUUAUAAACAUAAGAAGUGGUGCCACUUCAACAAGUAAAGGUAGGGUCUCUCUUGUAAAUGUUUAUUAUGAACAAGAUAAGCACAUGAUCAUUUUAGUGCUAAAAGUGAACAACCUCUGAUAGAAAUAUAAACGAAUAUUAUGUAUAGUGUAUUUCAACUUCUAAUACUAGGAGUUGUGGUUCAAUCUUCGGACACCGACAACUUAUUAAAACUUUGAAAAGCAUCCGCUUAUUGAUGGUUCAUAUUGAGAGGUAUCAUCUUUAAUGCAUAAUAUUUGUUUGAGUGAAUGACCAUAAAGUAUGGUACCAACAUUUAAACUAAGGGUGAUUGUUAGUAGUUUAUAAUUUUGGCAGUAAAAAUAUUUUAUUAUGUAGAAAAGUCUAAUAAAUUAUAAUUAUUGGUCAAAUAGUUGUGUUGUAAAGACAAUUUUUGUAUGUAAAGUUGUCUUAUAAACUUUAUGUAAAGUUGUGUUGUAAAACAACAAAAUUAUAUGAAAAUGUAUCUUAUUAAAAGAUACAUCCAUAUGAAAGGGUAUCUCAUGAAAAGAUACACCUAUUAGAUGUCUAUAUAAAAGAUUUUUCUGUUAGUUAUUUAAAUUGUUUUGCUUGGAGUGUUGAGGGCUUUGUUGUAUCUUGAAGGUAUUUUAAAAUCUUAAAGAAAGUGCUCUACACACCUUAAAGUCAUUAUAUUUUAUAACAUUAUUUUAUUUUUCUAACUUUUAUUUUCCUAUUAUUUAUUUUUCUAACAGCUAGAAUAUAGGAAAAUUAUUAUGUUUCUAGCUAUAUAUUGAAUACAAGUAUGUUGGUGUUUAGAACUCGAACUUUGAUGGUUGAUCGAGAGAUUUGAAGCAGAAAGAAGAGACGGGAAGUUUUAAGUAGAAAAAUAAUUGAAGACUGGAAUAUAUAAUUGAUUUGCACCUCAACUAUUUAAAUACAAAAGUUCAAGCUAAAAAUAGAAAAAAAAAGUUCUAAAAAUCUGCUAAAAAUCUGGUAACAAAAUAGCAAACAAAUCAAAAAUCUAAUCUCCUAAAGUCAAGGAGAAUUAUUCAAACUUAGUAACAGAAAAAAUUUAAAUGGCAGCAAUCUUAAACACAUGAUCUUAACACUCCUCCUUGUUUAGAUGCUACAAACUCCAAGUUUCUUCCUGAAGCUUUCAAACUUGCUAAGUGGCAAUGGUUUGGUGAAGAUAUCUGCAAUUUGAUCUUCAGAUUUGUAGUAACAAAGAGACACAUCACCACUCUUUUAAACUUCUCGAACAAAAAAUAACUUGAUGUUAAAAUGCUUAGUCUUCCCAUGAAAGACUGGAUUGUUAGAGAUUGCAAUGGCAGCCUGGUUAUCAACUAGAAUCUUUGUGCUUUGCUUCUACUCCAUGUUUAGAUCAACAAGAAUCUUCCUUAACCAGAGAGCUUGGUUAACUGUUGCUGUUGCAGCCAUAAAUUCUGCCUCAACAGUGGAUUGAGCUACAGUUUCUUGCUUCUUCGAGCUCCAAGAGAACAUGCCUGAUCCAAGGCAAAAACAAUAACCAGAGGUACUCUUCAUAUCAUCAGUUAAGCCACCCCAAUCACUGUUAGAGAAACCAAUCAACUUCAAUUCCCUAUGCUUUAAAAACUUUACUCCAUAAUUCCAGGUCCCCUUGAUGUAUCUGAUAACUCUUUUUGCAGCUCUCAUGUGAGUCUCAUUGGGACAAUGCAUGAAUCUGGAGAGAAUACUUACAGCAUUCAAGAUGUCGAGUCUGGUUGUUGUUAAGUACAUUAGACAACCUACCAAACUCCUGAACUCAGCUUCAAUGACUUUGGCAGAACCAUCAUCUUUGAUUAGCUUCUCUUUUUGAUUCAUAGGAGUACUCAUUGCUUUGCAAUCUUCCAUAUGGAAUUUUCUAAGUAUCUCCUUUGCAUACUUUCUUUGACAGAUGAACACUUCAUCUUGGCUUUAUUUGAUCUCAAUGCCAAGGAAAUAAGACAUCAGAUCAAGGUCUGUCAUUUCGAAGACAUUAUGCAUUUCCAAUUUAAACUGAUUAACUUGAUCGAUAUUGCUCCUUGUAAUCAAUAAGUACAAAUAAGCAAGCUUUUUCCUUUGAUUUCCUUAUCUUCUUUUCUUUUUGUGCUUUAAUCUGUGCCACAGUAGGAUUUGCUGGAAGAGGUGGGACCUCGUAAUCCUCUUCUACAGGUUCCCAAAGAUCCAAAGCCUCUAUGUAAGUCUCCAUGCGAACUGCCUACAUCUGGUAAUUGUCUCCAUCGAAGACUGGUGGUGCAGCAACUGAAAAACUGGACCCUCCUUCCAUAUUAACACGCAAAUAACCUAACAAAUCCCUCAAGAAAAUAGCUCUGAUACCAAUUUGUUGGUGUUUAGAACUCGAACUUUGAUGGUUGAUCGAGAGAUUUGAAGCAGAAAGAAGAGACGGGAAGUUUUAAGUAGAAAAAUAAUUGAAGACUGGAAUAUAUAAUUGAUUUGCACCUCAACUAUUUAAAUACAAAAGUUCAAGCUAAAAAUAGAAAAAAAAUGUUUUAAAAAUCUGCUAAAAAUCUGGUAACAAAAUAGCAAACAAAUAAAAAAUCUAAUCUCCUAAAAUCAAGAAGAAUUAUUCAAACUUAGUAACAGAAAAAAUUUAAAUGGCAGCAAUCUUAAACCCAUGAUCUUAACAAAGUACUACUUGGAAGCCAACACCCACAAACAUGAUAAAAGUUAAUUUUGAUGAGAGUUUUGACAUGGAAGCAAGAAAUGAGGAAGAGGGUAGUUAUGCAGCAUUGUGAUGAUUUUUUAGUCUGACUAUGCAACCAUCCAAUUUAGGGUGCAUUCUCCAUUGUGGUGAAAAAGCACUUAAAGAACAUUUGGUUUUUGCACUUAAAAUGUGAUGGAAAAAUGUUUUUCCACCCAAAUACAAAAACUAGGAUAUAAAUGUUUUUGACUUUUAGCUUUUAUGUUUGGAAGUGAAAAUUAUCAAAAUAUCAUUAUUUAUAUUAACUAUUUAAAUGGUAUAUAAAAAUUAGAUUAAUUUAUAUUUUAUAUAUCAUUAUAUUAAAUUAUUUAAAUAUUAUUUAUUAUUAUAUAUUUUAAUAAUUUAUAUAUCAUCUAUUUUACAAAUAAUUUAUAUUAAUUACUUAAAAAAUAUUUGGAACUUAUAUUUCAUGUAUCAUUAUAUUAAAUUAUUUAAAUAUCACAUAAUUUAACUAAUUUUUUACUUUCCACUAUCAUGUCUAAAGAAAAGGAUAUUUUAACUUUUAACAAGAAUUUUUUGUAGCAAUGGAGAACACCAAAAAUUAAUAAACACACUUUUUCAUAGUAAUUUUCAACCACACUUUUCAACCGCAACCCUAAUGAAGAAUUAAUCCUUACUAAAGUUACCGAAGCACUAGCUUCCACCGUAGCCAUUGAAAUGGCGCUCCAAUUGGGAUUGCAACACAUUAUUAUUAAAGGAGAUGCUCUCCAAGUGGUUUCGGAGUUGAAGGAAGACAAAGGAGACCUACCAACAACCGGACCUUGAUAGCAAAGAGUUGAAUACUUGCUAAACAGGUUCAGCAAUGUAGGUUUCAACACAGGAAGAGGCAUGCUAAUGAGGUGGCACAUCAUCUGACCAAACAGGGCCUUAAUUGUUUUCCAUCUUUUGUUCAUAUGUUUGUUUUGAAAAGGUAAAACAAAUCCUCACCUAUUGAUGUUAGAACGGUUGAAUUGCUAAAAGCAUGCUGCAUGCAUAACCAUGCUUUAGGUUAGGCUUCAAAUUAAAUAAAUUUUAAAUUAUUUUUAUUUAAAUUUAAUUAUAAAAAUAAAUUAAUAUCAAUAGAAAAUUAUAUAAAAUUUUAAGAUAUUUUAUUUUUCAAUAAUAAAACGAAUCAUUCACCAAACCUAAUUCUUCAAUUUCUUUUUAAUUAGAUCACAACUCAAGCCAAGCUAACCAAUAAACACCCAAAAUCUACCAUCAUUUUCAUUUUCAUUUUUUUUUCUUUUGUGACAAAGUAGACAGAAGAUUCGGUUUGGAUAAGCUCUACGUUAUUAAGUCAAAAGCUGAAGUAAUUUUAAUCAUAAAUUGUUUUAUUUGUCUAUAAUGCAAAACAAUGACCCAGUUAGUACAAUAAAGCUUUAACUUUGUGGAACAUUUCAGUCCAAAAAAAAAAAAAAAAAGAAUUGUGGAAAUUUUAGAGCAGUUGACCAUUUCUUCGGAAUUAGUUUUCUCACUUCUUGUCCAUAUUCCAUGUAUAUUAUUUCAAGAAAUUAGGUUUAGAAAUUUGCAUAAUUCAACCAUUGAACUAAUAAAUAUUAAACAAAAAUUGGGUGGCAAAAAAAAUCUUAUUAAAAUCAUAUACUAUUACUAAAAUUUAUGAUUAAAUUAGUGUCACGAGUUAACGGGACAUUAACAAAUUAUAUUAUUUGAGGGUAUUUUAAUCUUUUUAUUAAAAAAGAUGAUGUCUCAAAUUAACUCACAAUCUAAUCUAAUUUUUCAUUUUAAUAUUGUAAAUAUUUCAUGUUUUAUUAUUAAUUUGUUUCAAAUUAUACAUUUCAUUAUUUAUUUUAUGUUAUUUUUAAACACAUCUGUAUUCUAAGUACCUAAUUUUCACUUAUGGGUAUCAGAGGCGAAUCUAGGGAGGCUGAUAGGGGUCUCGGUCCCCUUAAAAUAGAAAAUUAUUAUUUAAGCCAUUUAGAAAAUUUUAAAAUUUUAAAUUAGUAAAUGUAAAAUUACACUUUGACCCCUCUAAAAUUAUAAAAAUUUGAUUUAAUCCUUUAAAAAUUAUAAAGAUAUAAACUAUUAAAAAUAAAAAUUUCAUUUCGGCCCUGCCUAAAAAAUUUUUUUGACUUCACCCCUAAAGUAUGAUAGAGUUUCUAGUAUGAAUAAUUUUCUUUGGAAGUGUUAAACAAACAAAGGAGUUAAGUAAACAGUAGUUUUCAUACAGAAAUAUUCGGCGUUGAUGUUUCCCUUUCGAAUAAUUAAAUUAAGACUUAGGAAAAGGGAAAACAAUGAAAAAGAAACUAAAAUUGAGCUUAAUUUAUGGAGUUGGGUUAAAAUUUUAAUAUUUAAAUAUAAAAAUUCUAAUAAUUUGAUCUGGUCCGUUUCAUCUAGCAGACUAAUAAUAAAUCUUAAAACAUAUUAUAUUUUAAUUUAAAUAAAACCAAAACUAAUACACUUGACCUACAUCUACAUGUGAUCUAUGCUUCAUUUAAAUUAGUCUAAAUUAGACGAGAUCUUGAUUAGGAGUCAUUUAUUUAUAUUAUAAGUCCCUGAAACAUGCAAAACUUACAUUUAAAAAUUAAUAUUUUUACGUUGUUGUUAGAAUAUAGGGUUUGUUAAUGUUUUCGUGUGAAGUCAGCUGUUGACAUUACCAAUCAGAUAAUGAAAAGGAAACAUGGCAAUUAUUCCAUCCUAAUUGUCACCAAAUUAAGUUAAUCCAAAAAUUACCAAACGUUUAGUACUUCAAUGGUAGAGUCAGCUCUUUCUUCUAGUCUAUCAAAAAAAGUCAAUUUAACCCCUAACUCUUGGAUGGAAAAGUUUUUGCUAUGAACUUGUUGAAGUGAAUCUCAUGUGAUAUAAACGCAUCGCAAUCUCCGUGUGUAACUAAAAAUAUUUGAGAGAUUGAAUAAUUUAAAGGGGAAAAAAAAAGAAUUUACUCCCUCCACUAACAAAUUACUCUUGCCAACGUAUGUAUGAAAGUAAACACCUUUAAUUAAUCAACAAAUGCUAAAGUUCGAGGUUUAGAAUUAAUUAAAUACCAAUAUAAAUAGUUAAUUACUUUUUUGAAAUAAGGAUAAAUCAGUUUGUGAGGUUUGAAUUUUUUGUAUCUUAACAAUUGUUCUGACUUUAGAGUUUGAAGGUUUUUUUUUUAUCCAAAUUAACCUAUGAACUUAGUAAUUUGUCUCUCAUUAAGGUUUAAAUUUUUUAUUUAUCUAAGUUAAUUCUUAAAAAUCUUGAAAUUCGAGAAUAAUUGUCAAGUUAAAAAAAUUUAGAUUUCAAUAUGAGAAUAAUCUACUAGUUCGUAACCUUAAUAUAAAAACAAUUGUUAAGUUGAAAACUUAAUUUAAAAACAAAUUCAAACCCUUCUUAAGUUUACGAUUUAACCCUUUGAAAUAUUGCGUUAACUAGUAAGAGUAAGAAUUAUUUUGUGUUGAUGAUUAAAUAAAUAUUUAAGUGGAGAUCAAGUUUUACCUCAUUUGUCAAUUGUCAGGUGAAGAAUAUAUACCCCUAAAGGCCUAUCAAAAACGGACCUAUCUCUAUCUAUAUAUCUUAACUAAUUUACUAUUCAUUUUUAAUGAAAAUCAAUAAAUCAAUGAAAACGUUAUAAAAAGAAAACUACGUGAAUAAAUUAUAUGUGUAAAAUUGAAAUAUUUCUUAUUUUAGUACAAUGGUAAGGAACAUUACAUUUUUAAGGAAAUGAUGUCAGGUUCAAACCUUAAAGAUAAUAUUCUUCUUCUUGAGAAGAACAAUCCCAAACUCCAAAAUGAACCCUUAUGAAUUAUAUAAAAAAAUUUUGAAAUAUUUCUAUAAAAUAUCAUUAAAGUUUUUUAUUUAAAAAAUGUUAUGGGUAUACUUUUACCUCUUGUAAAAAAGUCUUUCAUUUCUCAAUUCUUAUGGCAUAGUAAAUUUAUCAUUAAUUUUCAUCUUUAGGUAAAAAAAAUGGUUAUUAUUUGUGUAUUAAAUAAUUGUUAGGAUAAAUUUUAAAAUUGUAUAUGAAUUUUGGUUUAAUGUUAAUUAUAUACAUUAAUUUUAAUUUUAUGUAAUUUUAUAAAUGAAAUUUUAAUUUGAUCCAAUUCUAACAAAUUAUUAACACAGUUAUUGAUAUAACAUCAUUUUAUGUUUAUAUGCUAUAUACAGAAAUAAUUAUGUUUAUUCAAUAUAAAAAUAAAUUGAUGUAUUUAUUUCUUUAAACAUAUAUGAUUGAAUCAAAAUUAAAACAUCGUGUAUAUAUUUGAACCACAAUUAAAAUUUUACAUAUAAAAUUACAUAAAAUUACAAUUUAUAUACGUAAUAAACUAAAAUUCAUAUAUAAUUUUAAGAUUUAUGUCCACAAUUCUCUAAAGCUAAACGGUGAUGAUUACCAUGGAAAUUCAAUGUACUUAACUAAUUGGUUGAUAGGAACAGGCAUGAUGAAAUCCAUGAUGGGAAGAGAGAGAAUUCAAAAACUGGAAUGCCCCCAUUAAUCCAUGCAAAUAAACUUUUUCGGUAUUACAUCAUAAUUCAUUUAAUUUUAUCAUCAUCUCUAUGCCAUAACCAUGUUUAAAGUAAAAUACUUAUAUAAAUUGAGACAUUAAUAGUUUGUAUUAUAUAAAUUAUGACAUCCAUAUAUCCAUAUUAUAAUUUUUAUGAAAAAUUAGAGCUGGCAGAUAAAAAAUGGCUUACUGAUCAAUGAAAAAUAAACUUUAUUUCUUGUAAAUUGACUUAUCCUUUUAAAAAGUAUAAAUAUUUUUUUAAAAUUCAUUUAUGAGUAAUUUUAUUAUUAUAAAAAUUAAUUUUGCAAAGUCUAAUAUUAUUAUAUUAAUAAUUUUAUUUUAAAACUAUUUAAAAAUACUAAUAUCAAAUAUUAUAAUGUUGAAUCCUAGUAACAUACAUAUUAAAUUAUUUAAAUUAUGUAAUAUUGCAAUUUUAUUUUAAUACUAAAUUUUAACAACAAUAAUUUUAAAUUUUAGAUCAUAUUUUUAAUAUAUUAUUGAAAAAUAUUUAUAUUAAUAUUUUAAUAAUAAAUAUAUAUAUUAAAAUUUAUAAAUAUUUAAUAAUAAAUGUUUUAUAGUAUAAAAUAUGAAUAUUUUAAUUAUAUAGAUAUGAGCAUUUGUUUAAAUCAUGUUUAGUUUCAUUUAUCUCCCAACUAUAAUGUGUUAUUAUACACCGUCAUAUAUAUAAUAUAUGUAAUUUAAGCAUUGUUUAUUAUUAAAUUUAUAUAUGAUAUUAAUUAUUAUAAAAUAUUAUCUUAUUAUAAAAGAAAUUCUAAUUAUCAAAAAGAAAUGUUACUUUAAUAUUUUGUAACAAGUAUAUUUAUGUUGGGCUUGUUUCAAUAAUAACUUUAAAAUGAUUUUAGAAAAAAAAUUGUCAAAUAAUAAAAAAAUAUUUUAAGCAAAAUAAUUCAAACACAAAAAACUAUCAACUUUUCCAUAAAAUCAAUCCAAUUUUAAGAAAACAUUUUGUGAAAAUUGUUUUAGGUAAAACAAAAGGAACCUAUAUUUUAUAUAGUAUUUGAAAAGUUGUUGUAUCUAGAAUUAUUAUCUUAAAUAUUUUUUUAGGUCUAAUUUUAAAUUUCAUCCCUUUAUGAAAAUUGAGAAGUUAAAUUUUCUAUUUUACUUUAUCAGUCUGUGCUUGAUUGUUUAUUAAUUUGUCGUGUAUAAAUGGUUAAAUUAUUGAUUUUUGUUAAUUACUAGCAUGUAAAUUGUCAAACUACUUGUUCUCAAGGGAACGGUAAAGUUUAAUAGUAUUAUCAAUUUAGAACAAUUUUUGAGUUUUUUCUUUUAUUUUUCAUGUUCGAGUCCAUAAUUACUCCUUCUAAUAAUGUCGUCUUUAAAGUUUGAGUUCGAAUUCAAAUUCUCUUUUUGGAAGUACAAUAUGCCUUAUAAUUAUACCUAAUACUUUUGAUUUUUGUAAAAUAUAAGAAUCAAAAUUGUGUAGUAGGAUUAAUUUCUAGAUUUUUUAAAUUUAAAAUUUAUAAUAUUAUCAAUCGCAUCACACACAAAACCAAAGAACAAGAGAAUCUAAAAAACACGUGGACCAUUAAUUUAGGAAUGGACAUUAUAUUUUAUUAGUGGAAUAAACUCAUGCAAAAUGGUUGGAAAACACAUACAGGAUUAUAUAUACUAAUCAUUUUUAUUAUUAAGCAGAAUCGGAAAUAAAUAAAUACGAGCGAAACCACUGAAUAAUACAGCAUUGAAAUGCAAUUUGUCUACAUCAUUAUUGUUCUUCACUUCAAACGCGGAGACUAGUCUAGGCUCCCAAUCUUUUGCUUUAUCUCUCUAGAUAUAUCCUUUUCAAACUAUCUUUUUGUAGCUUUAUUUGCAUCACAGCAUUAUCUUUUCCUGCAAACAACUGUUCAAUGAUUAAAACAUGCAAAACAUUCUGAAAUAAUGCACCCUUACCAGAUGACAAAAAAAAAAAAAGAUUCUAAUGUAUCUUACCUUGGAUUGGAGCACGGUCAAAGCCGUGGCUUAGUAGUGGUGAGGAGGAGGGGGUGAAGCGUAGACAUAAUGGGGUGGUGGUGGUGGAGGAGACUUGUAUUUGUAAACUGGAGGAGGAGGUGGUGGAGACUUGUACUUGUAAGGGUGCUUGGGGGGUGAUGGUGGGGGUGGUGGGGGUGACUUGUACUUGUAGGGGUGCUUGGGUGGUGACGGUGGGGGUGGGGACUUGUACUUGUAAGGAUGCUUGGGGGGUGAUGGUGGUGGUGGUGGAGGUGACUUGUACUUGUAGGGGUGCUUGGGUGGUGACGGUGGGGGUGGGGACUUGUACUUGUAAGGGUGCUUGGGUGGUGACGGUGGUGGUGGUGGGGGGGACUUGUACUUGUAGGGAUGCUUUGGUGGGGAUGGUGGUGGUGGUGGUGGGGACUUGUACUUGUAGGGAUGCUUAGGUGGUGAUGGUGGUGGUGGUGGAGACUUGUAUUUGUAAGGAUGCUUUGGUGGUGAUGGUGGUGGAGGUGGUGGGGACUUGUACUUGUAAGGGUGCUUGGGUGGUGAUGGAGGUGGAGGUGGUGGAGACUUAUACUUGUAAACUGGAGGUGGUGGGGGUGGAGACUUGUACUUGUAAGGGUGCUUGGGUGGUGACGGAGGUGGAGGUGGUGGAGACUUAUACUUGUAAACUGGAGGUGGUGGGGGUGGAGACUUGUACUUGUAAGGGUGCUUGGGUGGUGAUGGUGGGGGUGGGGGUGGCGACUUGUACUUGUAGGGGUGUUUAGGUGGUGAUGGUGGUGGUGGUGGUGGUGGUGGGGACUUGUACUUGUAAGGAUGCUUGGGUGGUGAUGGUGGUGGAGGAGACUUGUACUUGUAAGGAUGCUUGGGUGGUGAUGGUGGUGGAGGUGGUGGAGACUUAUACUUGUAAACAGGAGUUGGUGGGGGAGGAGAUUUGUACUUGUAAGGUUUCUUGUGUGGUGGUGGUGGUGGAGGAGAGUAGAUCGGAGGAGGCGGUGGGGGAGACUUGUAAUGGUAGGGUGGUAGUGGGUUCUUCUUAGGAGGUGGUGGAGGAGAAGAAUAGGUGUAAUCUGCUGAGGUUUCAAAAGGCAAACUGAGAGAAACUGCUAGAACUAAAAGAGUGACAAAGAGAGAGGUCAUUGAUGACCCCAUUUUCCCCAUCUUUACUUCUAAAAAUGGGUUUAAUUUGGUUUAUGUUCGUAGACACCCUCUUCUCUCCCUUUAUAUAGACUCUGUUUUAACCUUAUAAUCUUCAUUUAAAUAUUGGGAAAAAGAAAAGGGCACAUUUUCAUUUCUUGAAAGUAAUCAGAAAUAACUGGAGAACCAUUAAAUUUGGCUUAUAAUAUUGAGGUUGCUAGCUAAGCAGUGAAUACAGUAAUCGUGAUGUGAUGUGUAUAAAAUACUUUUAUGUAUUUGGCUCGUAGUUGACUUUAUACAUAUAACUUUUUACAUGUACGUAUGAAAUUAGACAUGAUAAUAUUAAUAUUAAAUGUGAUACGAUUUAAAAUAAUUAAAUUUAACAUAACAUGAAUACCUCAAUUCUUGUGUAAUUAUUAUGGUCAAUUAUACCCUCCGUUCCUCGGAUUAAACCAAAUUUAAGAUUUUGACACCAAUAAAAAAAUAAAAUUUAAGAUCUAAUUCUUCAAUUUAAUAAGUUCAAAGAAAUAGUCUUGACAUUAAUGUUACUGAAGUUAAAAUUUUUAAAAUUUCAUAUCCAUAUAUAAAAAAAAUUAAAAAUUUUAAUUCCCACUUUUUUUUUGUCAAAAUUACCAUCAACCCAUGCAUGUAAACAAAUUUUGACAAAACAAUACCAACUAUAAUUAUAUACUGGGCGUAACACCCUAGACCCGGUCUAGAUGUCCAGUCCAAGUUAGAGAGUUACACCAUCGAAACUCAAAUACCUCACAAGUAACACAAUAAUACUAAACCAUGCUUCACAUAGUAUUCAUCACAAAGAUUAGUUAAGUGUAUAAUCUUCCAAAGUCAAGCUAUCAUAGUUUACCGAAACUCCUAACGUAAUACUUAAAAGAAAGAUAAAAGCUUGAUCGAGCUCUCGCGACACCGACCCGAUCAAGACUGGGAACCACCUGAAAUCCAACCAAUAGCAAAAUGAGUUGUGAACUCAGUGCGUAAAAGAAGUUUGUUCAACUAAUGCUCACUUAUAAAAUAGUUCUGAAUUCAAAGAUUCGGUUUGAUACAGAAGUAAUUUCAGUUCAAAUUCAGAGCAGAUUAGUUACAUAUAUAUAUAAGCAAUUUCAAUUUCAUAUACGAUACAGAUCAGAUUCAGAUGCAAUGCUCCUACCCCCAUCCACUACACACCGUCUUCAGCUAUCCUAACAUGCUGUUAAGGACAUUUAAUGCCCAACCAAUUCUGCACACCUUAGAGUGUGCGUUUGACACUUUUACAGAGACACAGCUUAGCUGCUAGAUCAAAAUGCGACGAAGCGCCAGAAUCAGAUUUAUACGCAUUAUGGUUUAGCCACUAAUUCAUAACAGAUUACUUCCUUCUUCACAAUACCUCAACCCAUGCAAAUGUAGAGCACAAUACUCGUAUUAUGUAUUUAGUCAUUCUAAUUUAUUUCACAAAUAGAUAAGACAAUUCAACAUCAGAAUAAGUAUCAUAGUAUAUACAUACAACUAUGUUAUCCCCACAUCAGUCUCAGAGUAUCAGACCAUUCUCAUAUAAUCAAAUUCAUUCAUUCAUACAUUGAGGAGGCCAGUAUCAGUGUUAAGCAACAUUCACGGCCUCAAAAACAGGUUUUGGGCUCCAAUAACAUGCCACACGGUCUGGUCACACGCCCAUAUCCUUUGCUCGUGUGGUUCUGAAGCAUAAAUAGUGAGUUACACGGGUCGGACACACGCCCGUAUCCCUACCCGUGUGACUUACACGGCCUGGGCAGACGCCCGUGUCCCUAGCCGUGUGGUAUUGUACCAUAAACACUGAGGUACACGGUCCAGACACACGCCCGUGUCUGUUGCCUGUGUGAACCCUGCACUAAUAUGGCCACACACGGCCUAGACACACGCCCAUGUGCCUUGCCCAGGUGGCCCCAAAUCGAUAAACAGUGAGUUACAUGGCCUUCCACACGGCCUGGACACACGCCUGUGUGCCUGGCCGUGUGGUGUUGACAACCACCAUUUUCGACGAUCGAAACUUGCAAAAAUUAAGGUUUUAGGUACACACCUAGUUUCGCUUUGACAGAAAAACAAUGCGGGGACUACACGAAACCUAAUUAACCACCCAAUAAUCAAUUACACCAUCGUUUUCAAUAUUUUACUAAAAUCAACCUACCGUCAAGAUCAUGUCGAAAGUUUUGACGCAACCCCAACUCAAUUCGCAUACUUACCUCGCACGAAACAGAAGGAAAUCAGGCUAAAACAGCAGAGUAACGUCUCUUGUAAUAUCCUCACCUAAAAAAAGUAACCAAUUGAGUGUUUAAACAGAAUGUUCGAGCAAACGAGCAAAAUCCCGUUUCGACAGAAUAAUGUUAACAAGAUGGAACUCGCAAAAUGAAAGGAGAUAACGACGGAACUUACACAAUAAUCACACAAUCGACCUCACAGGCAUCGAAGAAGUCCCAUUUAACGCAGAAUCAAACAUAGUAAAAAGCAAAAUUAAAAGAAAAGAAGAAAAGGAAAGGAAAGGAAAAGAGAACCAAGAACUUUUGAAAAUGAAAAGAAUACAGACAGAUGCUUAAUCAGUAGCAGGCUCAUUCUUGACAUCAAUUUACCCAGAAGUGCACUUAAAUACAUAACACGUGGAUAAAGGUUGUUUUAAAAUAAAUAAAACUUUUAACGAUGCAACUCGGACUCUAGACCUUAAACACAAUAACGGAACAUAAAGUCACAAAUACAAAAAUUUAAUUACUACAAAUUUUAGCAAUUAAAUUCUUAAAAUUUUGAGGCGUUACACUAGGAACCUAUCAAAUUUUAAAUAAUAUAUUUUAAAUGCAAUUAUAAUAAAUAUUAAAAGUGAAAUUUGACGUUACACCUAAUAAACAUGAUAAAAUACACCAACACAACUUAUAUACAUAAAUUGUCAAAAUCAAAUUUAGAAAACAUAUUCAUAAUUAUCAAAUCUUAAAUCUCUCAAGGAUAACAUAUAAUACUGAUAAAUCCAUUAAAACACACUAAUAUCAGUACAUAUUAACAUCAUAACAAAAUUAACACAUUCAUUAAUCUGAUAAUGUACUUCUCAAUUCAUUACAAAAAUCACCUCAAUAACACGAAUUUUCAUACUCCAAAUAGAGGUAAAAGUAUGAUGGAGAUUUUUAUAGGAGUUAAAUUGCAUUUUAUCCAUUCUACUAAAAAAUGCGCAAAUUAAUCACUGUACGUUAGAUCAAAGAGUAACUGAUUUUUUGGUUAAAAAUUUCAUCCAUUUUUACUGUUAAAAACUUGUCUAUGUACGUCAGCAUGACGUAUACGUGGCACACCAUGUGUCACUAUCUGAUUAUUUUGUCAGGUAAACUAGUUUUUAAUAGUACAAAUAGAUAAAAAUUUUAACAAAAAUAACUAAAUUACUCUUUGACCACUAUAUAAGAACUAGUAUGUAAUAUGAAAAAACCAUUUUACUGCAAAUAGAUAAUUUUAUUGUUAUUAAUAGCUGUCCAUGAAUUUGAGAACAUUUUAUAUGGGUACCAAACUUUUCCAUGAAAUUGCUUGGCUACGGGACCAGGCGGCUUAGACUUUCUUUGCCAGGCUAUAUUCUCCACUCUCUCUUCUUUGUCGUUUACAUUUAAUUUGAAGACUCCAUUUGCUUUUUUUUUUUCCAUUCCCUCUGUCAAAUCCAUCAUCUUCAGUUAAUUAUCAUAUUCAUGAAGAUAAUUAACUAGCUUUUGUCUUAUUUUUUGUUUUAGUUAACGUCUCAAUUAUUGCCAUCAAUUCAAGACAAUUAGGUGAAAAUUCAUUUUAUUAUUUAAAAUAUAUCACGGGAUUAGCUCUUUUGAGAGAAUUUUUUUAAGGAAAUACCGAUUCGAAUCGCCAGGCCCCUUCUAAUGGAGAGCCGUGUACAAUUCAUGGAGAGAGACACUUAACUAAAUGGUAUCUUAUACCUCAAUAGGUGACCUAUAUGUCAUAUGGCAAGGGUUCAAACCCCACUAAUGGCGAGGCACUCGCGUUGCAUCUUGGUGGGUGGUCAUACAUUCACAUACAGUUGAGAUGCUCUCUUUCGUGAACCGUACACGGCUCUAUGCAAAAAAGUUGGGACUAUACCUUCCAUUGUUGAUAGUCCAAAUUGAUGUCUUAAAGAAAGACACUUCGAAGAUUUCUCUUAAAAACCUGAAUCAAUCAUCAACAAAAACUACUUAAGAAAAUAUUAUAAUAUUACAUUAAAAUAGAAAUAAACUUUAUUAAUUAAAUGAUAGCCUAAACCAAAAUGGGUUCAAAGUGUAGAAAUCAUGAAUAAUUUAAUCACCGGCAAGGGAUACGAGUUAGUUCUUCUAACAAACCACAACUUCAUUUAAUUAAUUUUAGAUAAAAAUAAUUUGAGAUUUUAAUAAUUGAUCCAAUUGCUUAAAGAGACAUUGGUGAUGUGCACAUGAUAUAGAAGCUUAAGUAGAAAAAGAAAACAAGAGUUUAAGUAGAUUGUCAAAAUAUCUUUCUCAAAUAAAUAGAGUUUUAAUAGAAACAAUGAUUAUCAAAAAAUAUAUAAAUUACUGUUUUUUUCCUCACAAGAGGAAAAAAGGAAGUGCUGGUGUUUUUAAAGCAAAUAGAGUGAUCUGGAUGGAAUCUUUUGCUUAAAUCACUUUGAUUAAUUGCUUUACUCACUUUGACGUUUUUAAACUAUUUUUAGCAAAUAAAAAUAAAGCAAUACAUCUAAUCAAAUAUAUAUACUGAAUUUUACAAAUAUUAAAUUUAUAUUAGAAAAUUAUUUUGUGUAUUAAUAAAAAUUAAGUAUUGAAAAUUAAUUUUAUUGUUUGAUAAAAUUAAAUUUUUUUUUAAAUUAUUGAUUUUUUAAAUUUAAUCCUAUUGAUAUAAUAUUUUAUUAUGUUUUGUAUAGUUUUUUUAUACAAUGCCUAGAAACUACCCAUAAUCCUUCCCUAAUUCUUAAAUAGGAGAAUAAACUUUAACAAACUUGAACGUACGACAUCCUACACUGACAACAAUACCAAUGUCAACAAGCUAAGAUUUAAUAGGCAUGUUUUGUUUAAUUUUGAAUAAAAGUUAAAUAUACUAAUUUGAAUAUCUCAUCCUUUGACAAAAAAAAAUUCCAAUAUAGUGGUUUAAAGAAAAUCAACUUAAUAAAAUUACGAAAUCCAUUUUUUAUGACAAUUUUGUCCUGAGUGAAAAAACUAAUGGAAUUGUCAAGCAAAUAUAACAAUUUAAGUCGGUGUUUAGAAGAGCUGUGGGUGAGCUUCACUCACCUCCAUUAGUCGCUGUCAUUUUCUUCACACAUCGGCGUGUGACGCUCACUCUGACGAUUUUUCUCAUUUCGCCUCCACCAUUGACUUCAGAGCUAUAUUCCAACCUUUCCCUUUGAGAAUUUCUUGGUUUGGUGAGGUUGAAAUUUUUGGGAUUUUUUUCUAUUUCUUAGGUUUUAUACUAUUGGUUGAUGUAUUUUUUCGAUUAUUUUGUUUUCAUUUUCUUAAAAGUGACAACAAUAGAUAAAAAAGGGUGAUCGGUUUCGAUAACCUAUCUUGGCAAAUUAGUCCCAUCAAACUUGAUGAAAAUAACUAUCUUGCUUAGUAUUGAUCAUGUUUGUUGUUCAUCAAGGCUAGAGCCCUUCAAGGCUAUAUUAUAGGUGAUAAUAAGAAGCCUACUAUUGAUGAAUUUACAUUCAAUUCAUGGGAUUCAAAAAGCUCACAUAUCAUGUCACACAUCUCUAAAACGUAUUUAUUACUUGACAUCGUGACAAAAAUAUAGUGCAGUUGCUCUCACUUAUUCACAAGUGGAAAAUGACACUAAAAUAUUUGAGAUACGAAAUAAGAUCUAAUACCAAGCAAUGUGAGAUGUCAAUUUCUUAGUAUCAUUCUAGCCUUAGUAGGCUAUGGUAGGGGUUGGAUUAAUAUCAAGACUUUCAAGCAGACUGUACUGGAGAUGUUAAGUUUCAAAAACUUGUUGAAAAGGAAUGAAUCUAUGAUUUUUUUAGCUAGACUCAACCAUGAGUAUGAUCAUAUCCGAGUUCAAGUUCUUGGAAAAACUCAUUUUCUGUAUCUCCAAGAAUCUUAUUCCUAUGUCCAACAAGAAGAAAGUAGGAGUGUUAUGCUCUAUAAAACACCUAUAGAGAAAGCAGGUUUGAUUGCUAAUGGUUCCUAAUAGCAAAAGAAAAAAUACAAUUUUGAUAAGAAUCAUCUGGUGUGUGAUCAUUGUGGGAAUACUCAGCAUACUAAAUAGACAUGUUGGAAACUACAUGGUCUACCCAUCAAAGGUCGAGAAAAAAAACAAAUCAAGCCAACAUGGAACCAAGUAAAUUUCUCUGAAGUUGUGAAAACAUCCAAAGAGAUGGCUCCUAGUGAGGCAUUCUCAUCUGAUGAAAUUAAGCACCUUAGACACCUCUUGCCACAACUUGAGACUCCUUCUAAUAUGUCCAAUUUUUUGAAGUCCAGUAAUGCUUAUAAUGCUCACAAUAAUGAAGUAAGGAGGUUUAUUAAUGAAUUGAGACUCGCCAACCAUAAUGAAGUUGGAAGAGGACGUCAUCUUGUGUGGUUUUAAUAGAUGGAAUUUGAGCUACCUUAAGGAUUUUCUCUUGGUUGUUAAAUCAUCUUUUAGAGACUAGCUUUGAUAUCAAUUGUUAGCUUGAUUAAUCAAACCAAAAUUGCAAAGAAGGGGGUGAAUUGGCCUUUAAAAAUUUUGGUAAAAGCAAAGAAAUAAUAUGAAACAAUGAACACAAAGAUUUAGAGUGGUUCGGCUCCAAUUGCCUACUCCACUACCUUAGUUUUCUACAACUAAAAAUUUUCUCAAAUUCACUAAUUUGUUCAACCUUUGAGAAUAAGGUUUAACCUUACAACCCUCUUAAGAUCUCUAUCCCAAAUCUUAAGAUAAACCUUCUCAAAUAAUUGCAAAAAAGCAAAUAAAUAAAUAAUCCAAACAAGAUCGAAAUGUUUUUCAAUUAAGCACAAGUAGACAAGAAUACACUUAAGCAAAAGAAAGCCAAUAAGAGCUCACAGGUGUGUACAAGAGAAUUAUGGAAGUAUUAAGUACAAAGGUUGUUUGAUUGAUAAUUUUUUUUCCAAUUAAGCACAAAUAGACAAGAACACACUUGGGCAAAAGAAAGACGAUAAGAGCUCAUAAGUGUGUACAAGAGAAUUAUGGAAGUAUUGAGUACAAAGGUUGUUUCAUUGAUAAUUUUUGCUUCAAUAUGCUUUCUUGUUGUUGUAGGAUCUUUAAAAGUUAGUAUUUAUAUCCUCUAAUUGAUUUCCAACAGUUGAGGUUGUUGUAGUAGUUAAUAGAGUCGUUGGGGAUGUGAAAACUAGAGUAUUUAACACACCUACAAUAGCAAGUAUCAAUACCAAACAAAAAGGUAUCGAUAUUUUUUUUGGUAAUAAAUGCUAAAUUCAGUAACCGUUGGAAUUUACAUAUCGAUACCAUACCAAAUUUAUUGAUACCUUAUAAAAAGAUAUUCAUACUGGAUCGAUACUUAGUUGCUUUUGUGAGAAACAAAAUGCCAAUUUAGUAUCGUUUCUUUCAAAGGGUAUCGAUAUUUGGCCAAAAAGGUAUCGCUACAUUUUGGCCUAGAGUAAUUCUGACUUGUUUGAAAGAUAUUUUGACUUGAUAAAAUGAUAAAAGACCUUUUUACUUAGUUAAAAUCAUUUUAACUAGAUUUGAAAGUUGUUUCAAAAAAAUUUCUAAGAGUUCAAAAAGAUAUUUAAAAUUUUAUCUUUUAGACUUUAAUAUAAAAAUUAUUCUAUAAAUUUUUUAUUCAAUUUUAACUUUUAUUCGAAAAUAUUUUCAUUUGUUAUAUCAAAACAUAUUUUUAAAUAAAGCUUAAUUUAACAAAUAACAAUAUCACAGAGUUGUGUGCUUAGCCCUACCGGUGUCAUCUAUUUAUAAGAAGAAGAAGUAAAACCUUUUUUGAAUUGUAGAAGUUUAUUUCAAUUAGAAAAAAGAACUCCUAGUCUAACUAGAAGUAUAGGGGGUGACGACCAUAGUUAAUAAUACUUGGGUUUGUCGUCCCUCCCUUUAACAUGAGAGGCUUUUGGACCUCUCCUACAUCGAGUCCAAUUACAAGUACUUCUUAGACUUUUAACCCAAUACUUUAUAAUUCAAUCCAACCCAAUUUUUUUUCUAUUUCCCAAAAUAAACAUCUCAAUUUAUUUCCAAUUAAAUAAUAUUCUCAACCCAAUUCUAAUUCCGUUAAAAUCAUGACGACUUUACUGUAUAAGAAUCUAUAAGAAAAUAUAUUUAAUAUUUCUACAUUCAACGAGUUUAUUAUGACCAAAUGGUUUAUUUCUAUUUUCGAACUUCAUUUAAUUUGAAAACCAUAAAUUUCAAGUCUUUUUCAUUUUUCAUUUUGAAUAAAACCAUAUUCAUUUUCAAAUGUUUUCGAUUUCUCCAUUUUCACCAUUUCUAUCCAUUUCUAUUCAUUUAAUUGGCAUAGUGCCUAAAAUAGCCCCUAACGUUUGACUAUUUGGUCACUUUUGCCUUUUAUGUUUUUUCUUAGAGCACUUUAACCCUUAACACUUUUUUGGUCAAAUUGAUCUAUUUUUAACAGACAUACUGACGUGGCCGUUAGUUGAUUAAUGAUCAACAUUAACCGCUGAUGUGGCGGUCCAAAUGUAAUUAAAUGCUGAUGCGACACUAUUUUGUCUUAUAUGCCACAUCAGCAAAUGAUUUUAAAAUUAUUAAAAUUAUUUUAAAAUCAUCAUCAUCAUCACCGCUUCUUCUCCGUGUCCGCUUCUUUAUUGUCGGUUUUCUGGGUUCGAUUAAUGAAUAGAUCUAGGGGGCAACUUAGGUUAAAAAUACUUAUUAAAGCUUAAUUUUACUGUUGUAUAUAUAUUUUUCUUGAAUUGCUUUUGUGUCAAUUACUGUUUCGUGUUAUAUUUUCCCACCUGCAUUUGUUGUGUUUUUUUUAAUCUCUACCAAAUUCCAAACCUUUAAAAUUUGAAGCUCUAAGUUGAGUUCCAAAAAUGCUCACGUUUAGAUGCUAGAAGCAUAUCUAGAAAAAGAAAAAAGAAAAAAAAAUUAGAUUUUGAACUUUAAACUAUGGUGUCGGUAACAAACCCUAGAACCCAAAAUGAAAGCAAGAAAGGAAAGGAGAUCUAACCUUGAAAUUAUGAAAUCGGGCCUUGUGAGUAGCAUAUUUAAAGGUUGUGAACAUGGUGAGUUGAGAAAUUUCGAUCAACGAGUUAAGGGAAAAAAGGGAGCGAAGGAAAACGCGGACGGGGCUUAACAGAUUUAGCCUUGUAAGCAUAAAUUUGUAAGUUUCCUUUUAAGUGGCAUUUAUAGCUACUUACUUGCUUAGUUGCGUGGGCAUCAGCGUUUUGGUAAUGAAAUUUUGAAGUUAUAUUGACGAUUGUCUUAAAAGAUUAGAUGGGGAAAUAUUGUUCCAUCCAGAAGCAAUGGUAAAAAGUGGUGAGCUUGAGGAUAGACAUUGAACUAGUUGUGAGCAAUGGUGUUAAAAUUAUCAGACAGUUAGGUAGUUGAUGAAGCAGCAGCAAAGCUACAAAUUUGAAUGAUUGGAGAUGGAGAAGUAUGCAAUUUAAAGGAUACAUUUUGGGCCUAGAAAGAAAAAAUGAAGAAAAAGAAAUGGUGAUGAUGAUGAUGGUUUUAAAAUAAUUUUAAUAAUUUUAAAAUCAUUUCCUAACGUGACAUAUAAGACAAAAUAGUGUCAUGUCAGCAUUUAAUUGCAUUUGGACCGCCACGUUAGCGGUUAAUGUUGACUGUUAGUUAACUAAUGACCAUGUCAAUAUGUCAUUUAAAAAUAGAUUAAUUUGACUAAAAAAACACAUUAGGUGUUAACGUGCUCCAAAAAACCAUAAAAGGCAAAAAUGACCAAACAAUUAAACGUUAAAGGCUAUUUUUGGCAUUAUGCCCAUUUAAUUCAACAUGCAAUUCAUUUCUGGUUUCAACGAGCUAGCGGAGGGACCGAUUGAACAUAUGCAAUUGAGGCUCAAAUGAUUUAUAAUUAAGGUCCAACUUUUUGACUAUUAAUGAUAAACUCAUUUAGUCGCGAAGUCAUUCCACUAUAGUAUCGUGAUUGAGUUCACCCCAACGGCAUACUACGAAAGCAACUUGAUCAGUGCUCGUCCAAUGACUUUAUCAUAAGUGUGUUACCCUCAUAGGUUAUCCUUAAUCUCUUUGGGAUAAUAUUCGUUCUCCCAAUAUGAUCCUAUUUUAUCUCAUGAUAACCAUUACAUUUUCCUUCAUGAAAAGUCAAUUACUAUCAAAUAGUAAUCAAGUCAUUCCUCAUAAAGACGAACGAUUCAUGGCCACGUUUACUUUUCAUCAACCAUGUAAUGCCAAUGAGAGGAUACCAUUUACCCAUGUCUCAGGUUAUGAAUUUCACUAUUGUGAAUGGCGCUACAUACUACAAAACUCAUUUAAUAAGUACAAUAAUUGAAAAAAAAUACCAAAACUAAUAAGUAAAACUCAUUUAAUUUUAAAGUAAAGUUUAAGGACUAAUCAUAAAUUUAGUAAAACCUUUUUGUAAAAUUGAGAGUGAAAUUAUGGAAUUAACCAUAUAAGAUUUAAUCAUGCAAAUUUUUAAGUCAUUUCAUAGCAUUUAAGGACUCCAAUUGAAAAGAUAACAAAACAUGCUCAAAACCUACAUAUGACACAUUGACACCUAUCCACACAUACUAUUUUGUGUUUUCAUGCUAAUUUUCAUAUUCUAACAUAUCAUAUAACAUAUAUAGAUCAUACAAAUCAUACUCAAUUACACUAAAACAUACUUUAACACUCUAACUAGUUAGCUAUACUAGCAUGCAAUCCUAAAGUCACAACUCAUAUUACUUAACAUCUCAAUUUUGCAUCUCAUACAUUUCUAAGUGUAUUAUAGGUUCAUACCUUACCUAUUUGGUCAUUUUAAGCUUGUCUCAAUGAUCAGCAAGUCAUUCAAGCAUUUAUAACAAUAAUUCAUUAAGCACAUGCAUAUCAUUCAUCAUGCAACAAAAAUUUAACAAUCAUGCAUUACCUAUUUGGAAUGUAACAUUCCAAGAGAUAAUGAUCUUAUGUUCAAACUCUACUAAAUGUGAUUUAUAAAAUUUUAAAAUUUCUAAUAUUCUUUAAAAAUUUUAUUAAAUUUUAGUAUUUUCAUUUUUUGUAACUUUUUCUUUUUAAUUAUUUUAAUAAGGUUUGUAAUUUUUAAAAUAUUUUUAAUUUUUAAUUUUUAUAAUUUUACUAAAUUUAUUUUUUCUAUUUGUUAAUAGUUUUGCAACUUUUUAAUUAAUUUUUAUAAUUUUAUAAUUUUUAAUAUUUUUUUAAUAAUUUUUUGUAUGUAUUUUUAAGGUUUUUCGGACGACGACGACAUAGUAACAUCAUUGUAUGACACAUGACAGCAUAUGUUUGGUUGACCAAUUUUUUUAAUGUCCAAAGGGCUGAAUCAAGAAAACAUGAUAAUGUUAAGGACUAAACUGAGAACAUCUGAUAAUAUUAAGGAUUAAAGUGUUGAUUAAGCAUUUUGAAUUUGGAAGAAACUUAAAAGCUUCACGCAGCACGCUACAUCAACGACUGAGUUUUGAGUUUGUUCAUAUAUACACAUUUUAUUAUUUAUAAUUAAAAAAUUUCAGUUCUCACGUGCGAUUGACAUUCUGUACCGGUUUCCUAAUUGCUCCCGUACGGAUGUAUGAGGAGUUGGUGAAGACUAGGACUUGCAAUUUAUCUGCUUUAGACUGCUUCCCUAGCACUUCUUGUUUACUUUUUAUUAUUGUUAUCUAGAAACAACUAGAUUUAACUUAAUUCUUUGGUAACAAUUUUACUUUUCAUCUCUGUUGAAAAUAUGAGUACGUAAAAGAGAUGUGAGCAUGGAAAUUAUACUUUGAGCUCAUAUUUAUAGCAUAACAGGGUCGGAGUUGAAGGAGGGAAUGAGUCAAGAAAGGAUCCAAAUUCCAGUUUCAUGAAUUUGACAGCUAACGCAGUAAUUGUUUACUGUGGUUUGAUUUUGGUCCCAAAGAGAAAGCCAUACUAGAUCUGAUCACACGAUUAGCCUAUUUAAUCUUAAUCGAAUAAAUUUAGUCUAUGCUUUGGCACAGUUUUCAACAACUACAGGGGAUUAUUUCUUAUGUGUCAAUUUUGGCUUUCUUUCUUCAAAAGAUACCGAUAAUUGAAAAAACCAACACAACUUCCUAUUAAUUUUCUUCUUUAUUUUUCCUUAGUUGUCAAUCUUGGCUUGUUAUUAAAAGCUGCAGUAAAUAUAAUGGACCAAUUAUGUACAGCUUAAAUUAACGACUUGCUGACAAUAAAAAGUGUGUUAUACCCGAAACAAAACAAACUUUAUUAAAUUAGUUUUACGCUUUUAAAUAUUUUAAUAAUCAAACUUUCAUUUUUUAUAUUUCACUUAUAUAAAUCAUAAUUUUAUUGUUUCAAUAAAUAUUAAUAUAUAAUAUUUCAGAUCAAUAUAAUAGAGAUAUCGGAUUUGUUCAAAUUUUUACACCUAUGAUAAGUACAUUUAUAUCAAUAAUUUCAAUUGUUGAGUAGUUAAAAUAUUAAUUAUAUAAAAAGAUACGAAACUAUUUUAAUUUUACAUUAGUAUAAAUGGAUCUCACCCUGCUAACAUGUUUUAAUUUAAUGGUAAUUUUUAAGUUUUCAAGAAUUUUGAAAUUUUAUAUUCAAUUCUGACUAUUUCAUUCUAAAUUCUUUGUGGUUUAUAAAUCUAAUUUUUAUAUAUAGAUCAAAUAUAUUUCAGUUAUAAUAUUUAAUUUUAGUUGUAGUUAUUUGAAUAUAUUACUUCGAUUGCAAUUACAAUCUCUAAAACAUUAUAAUGGUAGAAAAAAAUCAUCUUAAAUAUUUAUAUUAUUAAUAGGAUAAAUUUUACAAAUGGUCACUUAAUCAUGUUCACAUUCCUGUUUUGAUCAUCCAAUUUUAAAAAAUUUCAAUUUAGGCACUAUCAUUUGAAUUCGUUCCUAUUUUGAUCAUCCACAUUUAAAUUUAUAAUGGAAAGCCUUUUUUCUAACUAGUAUAAUAAUACAUUUCAUCCACAAUACUUACAUAUUAUACCAAUUCAAUCCUAAUUCUAAAUAAUUCAAUAAAUUUAACCUGUCACAUUUACAAAUUCUAUCAAUUUGAUCCUCAUUUAUUGAAUUAUUUAGAAUUAGGAUCAUGUUAAAGUAAUUAAUAAGCAGAUAGUUAGUUAGCUGGUUAGCUAACUGUUGUAAGUUUCAGUUGAAAGAAGUUAAUGUGUUUCUAUAAAUAAGCAAAUAGAUGAUUGUACUUCCAAGGUUCUUGAUGAAUAAAAGAUUAAUUUAGUACAGAUACAGCUGUUAUGAUGAUAUCUUAACAUGGUAUCAGAAGUUGUUGUGUUGAACGUGUUUCUUGUAUUUUCUUUUUGUUUCUUUCAUGGAUUUCUCCUCCAGUCCUUCUGCUGUGCAAUCUGCUUUUCCUGCCAUGAAUACAAACUUCUCUGAUAGUCUUGCUGAUUGUCAUUUUCUUUCCACUAAGAAGAUCAGUGUGUUAUUGGAUGAUAAUAACUACUUACUAUGGCGUCAAUAGGUUAUUCUGGCGCUCAAAACUUUCAGACUACAACAUUUUCUUGAUCCUGCCACAUCACCUCCGCCUCAACGGAUUCUGGACGAUAAUGGUGUUCUUCAGGAGAACCCGGAGUUUUCUCGAUUUGAGCAGCAAAACUGUGCUCUAGCCUCUUGGCUACUAUCCUCUGUAAGUACAAGUGUUUUACUGCAUCUUAUUGGUCUAGAGUCCUGCUCUCAGAUUUGAAUGCUAUUGUUGAUCUUUUUGGGAGCAAGACUACUUCUCGUUUAAUGUCUUAUAGACAGACGUUACAUUCUCAACGCAAAGGUGACUUAUCUAUGAAGGAUUUCCUACUAAAGAUUAAGAGUUGUUGUGAGAAUCUUGCUAAUUGUGGAGAGAUCAUCAGUGAGCGUGAACAUGUCACUGCCAUUCUAAAUAGUUUGCCGUCUAAGUAUGAGUCGGCCAUCACUGUUGUCACUGCAAGUCAAGUUCCGUAUACUGUUCGAGGGGUGUCUACUAUUCUUCUUGAUGCUGAAACCAAACAGCAGGUUAUAGUCAAUGAAGAUCCUAGUUCAGCAAAUCUUGUGUCUAGUCAAGAGACAAGUUCUAUGGAUACAACUACUUCAGCCCCUACAUAUCGCCCUUCCUCAACAAAUUGAGGAAGAGGGCGUGGUCGCUCUUACGGCUCUCGGAUGCAGUGUCAACUAUGCGGGAAAAUGGAUCACCUUGUGGAUCGGUGCUAUCAUCGAUUUGAUGCGUCAUAUAAGAGUGUUGGCUAUAAACCACCUGGGGCUCCGCAAGCAAAUUUGAGUAUGGUUAGGUCUGCUUGUCCGAUGACACUUUGGAUGCCAAUUCUGCUUGCUGUCAAUCCAAAUCCUCAAUCAGGUUGGUACAAUUCCCCUGGUUAAUCUCCUAAUUGGACUAACCCAUUUGUUCACAAUUUCCCACAGUAUGGACCCAUGUCUUCUUCGACAUCUCCCACAGUUUCUCAGGCUCAGAUCCAUGCAGCGACUCCUGCAACAGUAGCUGAUAAUGCUUGGUAUCCAGACUCUGGUGCCACUCACCAUCUGACAAAUUCAAGCUCAUCUAUAGGUGAACAACAAUCUUGUACCGGCCCAGGUAAGGUGUAUGUGGGUAACGGUUCUACACUUUCUGUUAUGUCCAUGGGUCAAUUGUCACUGCUCACUCGGUCCCGAUUCUUACACAUGAAGUUAUUAUUGUAUGUACCUGGGAUAACUAAAAAUCUUCUUUCUGCAUCAAAGUUUACAAAAGAUAAUGCAGUAAUGUUUGAGUUCUAUCCUACACAGUGCCAAGUUCGUGAUUUAAAAGCUAGAAAGGUGCUUCUCUAUGGCUCUAUACACGAUGGGUUAUACAAGUUACAUCUUUCCAAUGCUGGCUUAACGGUGUUACCUGCUCAAUCUGCUCAGUGUUUUUCUGCUCAUUCUAUGGUUUCACUUGAUGUUUGGCAUUACAGAUUAGGACAUCCGUGUAAUGUUCUACUUAAAAGGGCUCUGUCUAAAUAUAAUAUACACUUUGAUAUGAAUAAACAAGUUGCUUGUUGUCAUGCAUGCCAUCUAGGGAAAGAACGUAAACAACCAUUUCCUCAGUCUGUCUCUGAAUACUCCGCUCCUUUACAACUUGUAGCUGCUGAUGUCUGGGGACCUACUCCAGUAGUAUCAAAUAGUUUUCGCUACUAUGUGGGGUUUACGGAUACAUAUUCACGAUACACAUAGGUAUAUUUUCUACGAAAAAAGUCAGAUGUUCUUGGUGUGUUCUCAGUGUUUCAUAAACAAGUAGAAAGGAUUUUGGGUUGCAAGCUUAAAACGCUGCAAACUGAUAGAGGAGGCGAGUUUCAAGCCUUGAAAGGAUAUUUGACACAACAUGGAAUUGUGCAACGUGUCACCUGUCCGUACACGUCACAGCAGAAUGGCUUGGUCGAACGUAAACAUAGGCAAAUCGUGGAAGUCAGUCUUUCUAUGCUGGCGCAUGUAAGGAUGCCAAUUAAUUACUGGAAUGAUGCCUUCAGCAGUGCUAUUUUUUUGGUUAAUAGGCUACCUUCCUCACCUAUAAGGGUGUCUCCGUAUGAAAAGUUGUUUCGAGAAUGUCCUCCUUACUCGUUUUUGCGGGUGUUUGGGUGUUUAUGCUUCCCUAACUUACGUCCUUACAAUACGUCCAAGUUACAGUUUCGAUCCACUCUGUGUACGUUUUUAGGAUACUCUCCGACUCAUAAAGGGUAUUAGUGUCCGGCAGCAGAUGGAAAAGUUUACAUUUCUCGCCAUGUUACGUUUUAUGAAGAUGUUUUUCCGUUUAAAAAUCUCAGCUCCAGGCCAUCACCUCCUUCACCUGACAUAGCACAGUCGAGUUCUAGACUGCUUGUUAUGCAACCUGGUUGUUCGCCCAUGGGUAGUACAGGUCACCACUAACAUGCUGUCCCGACUAGUGCUAGUAACACUCUAGCUCAAGGUUCUUCUAUUAGCUCAAGGUUCUCUUCAUAUGUACCCAGUAACGCUACAGCUCAGAGUUCUUCUGCUAGCUUGAGGCAAUGCACGACGCGCGAUAGGACUGCUACCACCCCUUCCGGAUUGGUUGUUCCAGCUAACUCACAUGCCAUGGUUACAAGUAGUAAAGCUGGUAUCUUCAAGCCUAAGGUUUACUUGAGUAGUACGGAUGCUGCAACAACCGAUGUUUCUUCUGACAUUCAUGAACUAUGCAACAGACUUGUUGGCAAACGACGGUUCAUGCUGAGUUACAAGCUCUUCAGCAGAAUAAGACAUGGGAACUGUGUUCUCUACCAGCUAACAGACAAGUUAUUGGGUGCAAGUGGCUAUUGAAAGUAAAAAGGAAGGCUGAUGGUACUGUGGAUAGAUACAAAGCGCGCUUGGUGGCGAAGAGAUUUUCACAACAUGUUGGCUUUAAUUUUCAGGAUACUUUUAGUCUUGUAGUUAAAGCAGUGACUAUACGAAUUGUGCUAGCUAUUACUGUUAUGAAAGGCUGGCCCAUUAGACAGGUAGACAUCAACAAUGCGUUCCUUAAUGGAGAACUGAUAGAAGAAAUCUAUAUGGCACAACCACUUGGUUUUGAAGUUAUAGGUCAAAAUAGAUAGCAGCUUGUGUGUCGUCUGGCUAAAGCUCUUUAUGGGCUAAAGCAAGCCCCCCGAGCUUGGUUUCAAACACUAAAGGAGUAUCUUGUACAUAAGCUUGGCUUUCAUGCUUCAAAAGCCGAUCCCUCAUUGUUUAUUCGCGAUUCUGAUGGUCAACUAUUACUUCUCAUGGUGUAUGUGGAUGACAUAGUUGUCACAGGUAACUCAGUUGCUACCAUUAACACAGUUGUCAAGGUACUUCAUGACAAGUUUUCCCUUAAAGACAUGAGACAACUGAAUUUUUUCUUGGGCAUUGAAGUUCGGCAUACAUCUCAGGGGUUGUUCCUAAAUCAAAAGAAGUACAUUGGAGAAAUACUGCACAAAACAUACAUGACAGGUGAUGUAUCCACACCCACACCUAUGUUGAGCUCCUCAAAGCUAGUAGCCUCAGACGAUUCUUUAGAGUUUACUGAUGGUUCCCUAUAUCAGAGUACAAUAGGUAUGCUUCAAUACCUGUGCAUUACAUGACCUGAAUUGGCAUUUUGUGUGAACAAACUAAGCCAAUAUAUGAAUUCUCCUAGUGAUGAGCAUUGGAAAGUAGUAAAACGGGUCUUAAGAUAUCUUGUUGGGAUUAUGGAUCAUGGUCUAUUUUUCUCAAAGGGUCAGUUUAAACUGGAAUGUUAUUCUGAUGCUGACUGGGCAGCCUUAGUUGAAGAUAGAUGUUCUACAACAGGAUAUGUCAUUUUUCUCGGGUCGAAUCCAGUUGCAUGGUCCUCUAAGAAGCAGGCUGUGGUCUCAAGGUCAUCUUCUGAAGCCGAGUAUCGUAGUCUAGCUAAUUGUGUUGCUGAAUUACUAUGGGUAAAACAACUGCUGGAUGAAAUUGGACUGUCAGUUUGCCAAACACUAGUCAUCUGGUGUGAUAAUACCUCUACAGUAUCCAUGGCUGCAAACCCGACUCAUCACGCUCGUAUGAAACAUGUUGAAAUUGAUCACCACUUUAUUCGGGAAAAGGUGAUGGCAGGGGUUUUGCAUGUUAAUUUCGUUCCUUCCACGAGGCAAAUUGCAGAUGUUCUUACCAAACCCAUACCCCCCACUCAAUUCAUUGAUUUUCGACAGAAGCUUCAAGUUUGUUCAAAAUGAUAGCUGUUGUCAGGGUUUAGUAAAACCGGGAGAAUGUUAAAGUAAUUAAUAAGCAGUUAGUUAGCUGGUUAGCUAACUGUUGUAAGUUUCAGUUGAAAGAAUUUAAUGUGUUAGUUAAUGUGUUUCUAUAAAUAAGCAAAUAGAUGAUUGUACUUCCAAGGUUCUUGAUGAAUAAAAGAUUAAUUCAGUACAGAUAUAGCUGUUAUGAUGAUAUCUUAACAAAAUUGAUAGAAUAUGUGUUAUUUUACCAUUUAGAAAAUGGCUUCCCGUUAUUAAUUUAACGAUGGAUGACCAAAAUAAGAACAAAUCUAAACGUUAAUGCUUAAAUUAAAAAAAUUAAAGUUGAGUGACCAAAAUAAAAACACAAACAUAAUUGGGUGGCUAUUUGUAGAAUUUACCCUUAUUAAUAAUAAAAGAGUUGAGGUUCAAUUAAGGUCGAGGAAAUAAAAUUUCAUACCCUAGGCUUGAUUUGUAUUUUAAAUGGAUCUUAUUUUUGGUCAUUGAAUAAUGUAAUAUUUUUUAAUCCAGCCGCCCAUGUUUGUUCCUUUCUUUUGGGCAGUAAAUCCUUAGUGCUUCCAUCCUGGGGUAAUGUUGAAGAAUUCGACUGUAAAAAUCAUUCCUAUUUCUGGAAAACCAAAAACUGUAAAAUUGUUCUAACUUCGACUUUUUUACAAAGGAUAAAAAUAGGGAGUUGUCUAAAUAUUAAACUCGAGAUUGAUAUUAAUGAAAGAUUUAAACAUUAUUUUUUAUCACUCUAUUUAUGAUUCAAUCAUCGGUAAUAGUAUUAUAAAGACUUUUGUAAUAAGAGUUAGAUUGUAUUUUGCCCACUGUAUUACAAAAAGGGUAAAUUAAUUCAUGUACUUUAAACCAAAGAGCAUAUUGAUCAUUCUGUUAAAAAUUUCAUCUAUUUUCUACUAUUAAAAAUUGGUUUAUGUACAUCAACAUAACGUAUACGUGGCACGUCACAUGUUACUGACUGGUAAUUUCAUUAGACACGCUAGUUUUUAACAGUACAAAUAGAUGAUUUUUUUAAUAGAAAAGAUUAAAUUACUUAUUGAUCUAAUGUACAUGGACCAAUUUGUCUAUUUUUAAAGUAUAAAAAAUAAAAUGCAAUCUAACUCUUAUUAUAAAAACCUAUAUGAUGCUUUUACCAUCAAUCAACACAUCUUAGAUCUUAAUUUUAUGGGAACAAAUAAAAUAAUGUGAACUAGGAUAAUUAAAAAUAAAAAAUCUGGUGCCAAUUGGGGUUGCGUUUUUUUUAUCUAUUAUUUUGUAAUUAGAUCAAACGUUUGGUUUAAUUUUCGAAUACAUAAAUGCAUAUUUAAACCACCGACAGAGAAACGAUGGUAAACUGUUGUUAUCAAUUUUUUUGUAAGUGUUUGACUAAUUAAACUGUUGCUAUCGGACGGCUGUCAUGGAAUCCAAUUGUUUUUAUUGAAAUCUUUUAACGUGGGGAUAAAGGAAUAAAUAUAAAUUAUCUCCAUUGAUAAUUAUGAAAAUGAUUCCAACUAUUCUGUACCGUGAAGGUAUUUUCAACCCUACAGCUUUUGAUAACGUUAUAUUUGUCAUUUUAUGUCACCAAAAUGUUAUCAAACAAUUACCCAAAGCCGGAGUAACAUUUUUUAAUAGGUUUAUAUUUUAUAAUUCAGUUUAAUUUUUUAUUUAAAUUCAGUGUUAAUAAUAUAUAAAUAUUAUUUUAAGCAAAUAUUCCGCUCGAAAUUCGAAUUCAACUUUUAAGAAACCUCUCUCUCUCUUUCUUGCUCAUCGGAAACGAUACACAUUGAGAAUUUCCAUGUUUAUUAUUUUGUUAUUCAAUAUUGAUUUAUAGUGCGUACAAAUUUGAGGUAAAAGAAUAUUUAUUAUCUAAAUUCAUUUUGAUUUUUUAUGGUUAACAAAAUUCAAGUUAUUAUAUAUUCAAACUGAAUAACAAUUUAUAUAUUUAAAAUUAUUAUUUAAAUAUACAAUUUUAUUUUUUGAAAAUAAUUUAAUAAAUUUUUGUAACACCCCAAAAUAUAUAAGGUUAGAAAUUUAAUUAAUCACCAAAAAAAUAGUUUAGUUUUGAUGGUUACAUAGUUAGAAAAGUUUUUAAGUCCCCUCUUCCCAGGAACAAAAUCAAUCUAGUAUAGACAUUAAAUGUGGUAGAAAUAUUGAAAGCAUGGAUAGUAGCCUAAUGACUAAACUCUCUUUUUAUCCAUUACGUCCCUAGUUCCAGUCACACCACUAUCCCUUCUCAUUUCUUUUUUGGACGGCAAGAAAGAAAAUUUUCCUAAUUAGCCCUUUAAAAUGUGAAAACCCUAACUAUUUAAUCAUCUUUCCAAAUCAAAAUAAAACUCUAGUUUUCCUUUUCCAACUGAACAAGGGUUUCAUUUUUUUUUCCCUAUUUCUUCCCCUAUUCUUUUUCAUCUUCCCCCUUCAAUUAUUUUCUUUACAUUGAUGGAAAUUUUAUUUUGAUCCUAAGUUUGAAAUCGAGCCCCAUUCAAUCAAUUUUUUAAUUGAUUUAGCAUAACAACGUUGAAUCCUGUAUUAAAUGUUGCCAAGAAUCAAUAAGAACAUCUCAAUUUUAACAUUUAGAUAUCAAAAUCCCCAUAGGUUCUAUUUUUGUUAAUUUCAAGAUCGAUUAAGCGAUCUUUUUUACAAAUAUUACCGAUUCCUUCCUAAAAUCUUGAUUUUUCCUUGAAGAUCGUUAUUAAUCCUUGCGUAUUUUUCGGUUGAAAGACUCGUUAUAAGUAUCCUAGAUCAAACUUGGACGUGAAGAUUAUCGUUUGAAACCCUAAAAGUCAAGUGUGUAUUUUUUCACAAGAAAGUCGAGACAAAAUCGAGCUUAGGAUAUGCCAUAUGGCUAGCCACACGGGUGUGUGGGUCGCCCGUAUGGACCACACGACCACCAUACGUGACCAUGUCCUCCUUGAAACCCUAAAUUUUCACUUCUCACACGACCUAGGACACCCCAUACAGCCUGCCACAUGAUCGUGUAACCUCUAUGGUUGUAGUUUCAAUUGCCACACGACCAUAGUCUCACACAUGGCCUAGCCACAUGACCAUGUACCCCCUUCACACGAUCUAGGGGUUCCCACACGGUCCAGUCACACGGCCAUGUGUUUCCUAUAACUCAGAAUUUACAGUUUUGACCUAAAAUUUUAUCUUUUGAUUAGAUUAGUCAUUGAAUAUAUUAUGAAUUACUUUUAGUGAAUUAAGUUAUGCAAUUAGGUCCUUGAUGAUAAGAAAAAAGGUAGAGUUCAGGAUUGACUGAUUUAUUGUAAUAUUUAUUUAUAUUUAUGAAUAUUUGAAUGAGACAUGAAUAAGUUAUGUUGCUAUUGAAUCUAUACUUGCGAAUGUAUGUACAACAUGCACUAUAAUAUUGUUAACCCGAAUACCUGAUAAAAUCAUGACUAUGUUACUAAUAUUCCAUGUGUUAGCAUAUUAGAUACUAUCAUAUUUUGUUUGUAUUCAAUAUUUCAUAAUGUAUUGCAUGGGUUGGAACAAUAUGUAUAGAGGAAAAUCAGACAAUCUAUCUGCAAGAAAAAUAGCGGUGCAAGUCACAACCAUGCGACAGUUCUUAUCUACAAAUUACUGUGUAUCAAAAGUAAAAUGCUGAUUUUGAAGACGAGUUUAUGCUGUAAAAUCUACAGCCAAAAAAUAGGUCCCAUCUGCAGGACUUUUGCUGUGAACCCACAACCAAAGACGGAUUCUAACUACGGGGACUUGUUGUAUGCCCACAACUUAAUGGCAGUUAUUAUUUGUGAACCAGUAGUUGUUUAUCCACAUAUCGAUGUGUUGAAGAAGGGAGUUCUAAGGAACUCUUAUUAUGGUGUGUGGCGACGGGGUAGGAUUUAUUCUAUUUAAACUCGGAACUGUAUGGCAUCAUUUAAUUCAUGUGCAUACAAAUCUAAAAAUUAUGUUAUAAUACAUAGGCGUAAAUAUAUAUAUGUGUAUGAAUAUGAUUAUUAUGGGAAAAUAUGGGAAUUUUGGUUAAUUUUAAAAAUUAUUAUUGUGAGUUCUGACAUAUUAAUGAUGUCAUGAGGUUACUUUUGUUCAAACGUACUAAUAAUUGGUCGACUAAUAGCAAGGUUACUUACAUUUCCUUAAGCUCCCCCAAACUUAACCUCCUAUAAAUAGACAAUGGCAUGGGGUUGAUACUGGCAUCGAGGUCACAUAGGGUUUUCCUGAAACUCACUCCACCUAUUUCAAUGGGAAUGGUAAAGCUACCGGGAUCCUUUAGUUUGGGCGAAACUCUUCUAGACACCGUCGUACUUUAUUUUUUGUUAAGUGUAAUUUACUCUUUUCUCCCUAUUUUCCUUCGAUGAAACAUAACUUCUCUAAGGAACUUGACAUUUUUAGGCAUUUUCUCAAGGAUUUCAAAUAAGAGGAAGUUCAUGUUCAAGGCUUUAAACAUCUUGAGGAAGUCUGUGAACUCCUCAUCAUCCUUCUUCUUUCUCUCCUCUAAGCGGCUCGAAAAGGGUAUGGGCCUUGGGGUAGGUGGUGGUGGUGGA